CUUGUCCGGGUAAGGGGUAAACACUUUUGUUCCAUAUUCAGUUUGAAAUUAACCUUUGUGCUACAGCGGAUCUUGUUUGUUAAGUAGCAAACAUAAUGAUAUUCUCUUAUUUAUAUGCGAAAGCUCAAAUAUUAGUUCUUGUUUCUGACAUGGAAGAAAAAACAAGACACAUGCCAAGAGUUACUCGCUCUAGAAAAUAGUGAGCAGUCAUGCGUUUCUUAAACAUAUGCAUGGCUGAAUGAAUGAGAAAACUAAUGAUGGAUCUGUUUUAUGAUCAUACAUGACAGAAAGAAGACAGAAAGAAAAGCAAAGCUUGGGGAUAACAUAAGAGACAAGUUUCAGAUUCAGAGAUAUUAGUAAGGAAACAAAGUGAUAAUCUAACUAAACCUGAUCUAGAACAGCAGACCGACUUAUUAGUAAAGUGGUCAUUGUCUGACCAAUUGACUCGCGCACCAGACCAAUUCCGUCUUACCAGUUUAAAAUUUGAUAAUAACGAAUCAUCCAUAGUGUUAACGAUGUUGAAAAAGGUGGUGAUGACGAGGAAGACAGUGACAGUUUAAAAUAUCUUAAUUCAGUUUUAAUCACGUUUUGUCAACGAAAGGCUAUAAUAAAUUUGUGUCACAUGCUCUCCUUGUCACGUUUUGUCAAACAAAAUUCUCACUUUUUAGUAGCUAGUUUUUGUGCUACAGAUGAUGGGAUCAAUAUAACAUCAAACUAUUUUUUCAUAUAUGCCAGAAUCGCGCAAUAGCUUGUAUUGUUAUGGAUAUUGUUGAUAUGCCUUGAAUCUGGAUGUUACAUCUAUGCGAUGGAUGUUACAUCACGUACAUCAUACCGAUUCGGUUGCAUCAAGAGCGUUGCAUCAAGUUAUUAUGGAUGUUACAUCUGAUCGUGGGCUUAGGCCCAUGAGUCCGUUUAGUCUAGAGUUUUAGAUGCGAGAUGUUACUAUAUAUAUCUUGUAUUCGAAGUAACCCUGAACUUGCACUCUGUAAACUCAAUAUCGCCUCCAAUAAUAAGAUCUCUCUUUGCCCGUGGACGUAGCCAAGUUGGUGAACCACGUUAAAUCUCUGUGUCGUAGUUACAUUGUUUUUAUUCAUCUGUUUCCGCAUCUGUUUCUUCUCACAAUUGUUACCACAAACUGGUAUCAGAGCUUCGGGUUGUGAUCUAGUGAGAAGAUGUCUGGAAUAAGAGCGAAAAUCGACAAGUUUGAUGGGAGAAAUAGCUUCAGUCUUUGGCAGAUUAAGAUGCAGGCGUUGUUGAAACAACAAGGCAUCUGGGGACCAUUGUCAGGGAAGAAAUCUGAAGCAGCUGAUUUGGAGACUCUAGAAGAGAAGGCGUUCUCAACAGUUUUGUUGUGUCUAGCAGACGAGAUCAUCAUCGAAGUGUCGGAUGAGAAAACUGCUGCAAGUUUGUGGCAGAAGUUGGAGAGCUUGUACAUGACAAAAUCUCUAACGAACAAGCUACUGCUGAAGCAAUGCCUCUUUGCCUUGCGUAUGCAAGAAGGUAUUGAUCUUCGCGACCAUCUUGACAACUUAAAUUCGAUAUUACUGGAGCUGCGUAACAUCGAUGUUAAGGUGGAGGAUGAAGACGCUGCUCUAAUCCUGUUGGUAUCUUUGCCGAACUCUUUCGAGAACUUCGUGCAAUCGUUCAUUGUUGGCAAAGAUACAGUGAGACUGGAAGAAGAUAGGUCGGCGCUUCACAGUCGGGAAUUACGCCAUAAGUCAUCCAGCUCAGGGACAGACAAUCAAGCUUCGGGAUUGUUUGUCAGUGGUGUGAAGGACAUGGGAACAAAAAGAAGUCGAAAGACAGAAAAUCGUUUCCAAGAGGUCUUAAGCCAACAGAUACUUGCAACUAUUGCAAAGAGAAGGGACAUUGAAAGUCAGACUGUCCCAAGAAGAAGGAGCAGCAGUCUGGAUCUGCUGCAGUAGCUGAGGAUGAAGCCAAGUCUGAUAGUGACAGCGCUCUUGUUGUGCACAGACACACACACUCUUCUGAUGUGUGGGUUCUGGAUACAGGAGCAUCCUACCAUAUGACACCGAGGAGAGAGUGGUUUUCGAAGUACACAUAGGUACUUGACGGCAAGAUUAAGAUGGCAAACAAUUUUGUCUGCAAGAUUGUUGGGAUCGGCUCAAUCAAGCUCAGGACACAUGAUGGUAGACUCUGCACAUUGAACGAGGUUAGGCAUGUUCCAUCAAUGACGAAGAAUUUGAUAUCCAUGAGUCUUCUGGACAGUAGAGGGUUUAAAUAUUCGGGUGGCGAUGGAGUUCUGAAUGUCUGCAAGGGUUCUGAUGUGAUUCGGAAGGGUUUCAUGAACGGUACUCUAUAUUUGCUGAAGGGUACUACCGUUACAGGUUCAGCAAAUGUUGCAUCACCAGAGAUCUCACAGAAAGAUGUGGCAUAUGAGGCUUGGACAUAUGGGUAAACGUGGGAUGCAACUUAUGUCGAAGUAAGGUCUUCUUUGUGGUCACAAGACCAAGAGUCUAGAGUUAUGUGAGUGGUAAUAGGGUUUUUGCCUAUUGCAAAUGUUGUAGUAUAGUGGGGUGAAUGUCGAACCAGUCCUAGUGAUGUGAAUCAGUGAGAAUACAAGUCAUUUCUUAAGCUAAGCAGAUUCAAUAUUGGUGAGUGUGUGACAAGUAGCAAUAGCAAACAGAGCAAUACAACAAGGUUUUAAUCAAUUUAGACAAGUGAAUCCAUGGGUAUUGGGAAUUGACUUCAAGUAACUAAGAUCCAAUCUAGGUGACAAGCUUUCAAUCAGAGUAAUCUCUUAAGUCUAAACACAAUUUUAGACAAGUCCUAUGUCUAGAUAAAUGUCCAUUUGCUUAGAAAUCAUUAAACAUCAAAUGUCUUUGGCUUAAUUCAAUCAAGCAAUCUUUAUGUUCAAGUUUAAUAACUAUCUAGCAAUUUUAACUUCAAGUGUCCUUGGCUAAUCUCACUAGAGCUUAGUUGAGAUGAUUCAAACACUUCAUCUAAUCAUGUCUGAUGAGAAGUGUUUAGAAAUCAGGUUUAGAGUGAUCAAGACUAAACAAGCAUUAAAAAUACUCAACAAGCAAGUUUAUACAAGGAUCUAAUACAAUAACACCAUAGAUCUUCACUAAGUUACUCUAAUCUCCCUAACCCAUGAAUUCUUAAGGAAACUACUCACUACUCUUCAUGAUAAACCCAAGAAUCAAAGAUGAUUUGGUGUUAAUCAUGAUUGGUGAUCAAUCAAACAAAUACAAGAAAAUAAGAAGAAAAGAUACUAAAGAUUCAAGCUUUUCUCUUGGUAGAGUUUUUGUGUUCUUUUUCUGGAAAAACAAGAUAGAUCCCCAAUUUUUGUCUGAAAAGUAGUUAUAGAAGACUAAAACUCGAGCUGGGUUAACCCAACAAGCCUGGGUUGACCUCAUGAAGUCGCUAUGGCUGGCCGCUGUAGAAGGCGCUUGAAGUCCUGAACGCAUAGCGACCUUAUGAUGCCGCUACGGCAGACCGCUAUAGAAGGCGCUUCAACUCUAGCGGUCUCUCUAACCCGCUACACACUCCCGCUACGGUACUUAGGUGCCUCAGCUCUAUCUUCUGUAGCGACCAUCUUUUGCCGCUACGACUGGCCGCUAGGAGCCUUCAACGACUCAUCUUCAUUCUUUGGACUCAAAAUCCCUCCAAUGGUCCCCUAACUCAUCCAUGGUGCUCUCCAACACCUGAUAUGUACAAAUGCAAUGAUAUGCAACCUAAAUGUGCCUAAAUGAUGCUCUAAAUGACCAAACUAUGCAAGAAUAAGAAGUUAAAAACAUGUAAAUUCACAAGAUAUCAACUCCCCCACACUAGUCCUUUACUUGUCCUCAAGUAAACUUUCAAGUCCUAAGAAGGAAGAAGUUUGAAAAAAGGAGCUCAUAGCCAAAAGACACACAUCCUAACUCUUCUACAACAUUCCAAAUGAUCAUAGCAAACAAUCAUUGGUCAUUCUUUUAUCAGUCUAGCUUCUCAAUGCCUAUCAAACUCUUUUUAUUUCUUUAUACAAAGUGCAAUGCUCAUCAAUCAACAAGUUACUUCAACCAAUUCUCACAUUCAUUCACACACACACACACAAGGUGGAUUCUCACAAAUGGGCACAUGAUCUCAAUCACUUGGCUUGGUAGAUUAAUGGUCUUUUAUGAAUGAAAAGAAAGGUUCAAAUACAAUCUUUUUAAUGGUGGUAAUCACUCAAGAACAAGGAGCAUGAUCAUGAUCAUUAUGCAAAAUUUAUCUAAGACUAGGAGCAAUUCAUGCAUACAUAGCUCAUUCUCAUCAUUCUACUCUUCUUCCUAAGUGAUUACAAAUUCUACCCAUCUUUUAUAUUUCAAAACCUAAGUAUAUACACUUCACUCACAUUUCUCAUCAAGUGAACUCUCUCUUUUUUUUUUUUUUUUUUUUUUUUACAUGAUCAACCCACUAAGAACUUGAUACUCUUUUUCUUUCCCCAUUAUGAUCUUUCAUUCAUUUUUUUUUUACUUUGGAGAAUUCUAAUUGACACACUUUAGAGUUUUUCUUCUUUUAUUUUCUUGGUUCCUAUUGGUUUUCUUUUCUUAUUGACACUCUUUGAUCUUUUUUUUUUUUCUUCUCUCAAACCCAAGAUAUAACAACUUAAAAACACACAAACUCACUCACCAUCCUAGAUGCUAGUUCAAAUGAGGAUCUUAUGCUAGCAAUAGAUGAGAACAAACAUAUGUCGCUCCCAAUACUCUCAAGAUUUUGCACAUAACAAGCUAUCAAUAAGUGACCUCACUCAACAAAUCAAUAUUGGUUUCAAAGAAUGGCAAAGGUUCAAGGGUAGGGGACUGCCAUUUGGAUUAAUCAAAGGAUAAUACAUGGAAUAAGAUAACCCAAAUGUGUAUGAAAUCCAUUAUUAAGUAUGCAAGUGCCCAUAUGCAAGAGAGAUUAAAUUCAUUAUGCUCAAGUUCAGUUUGUAAUUGGUUUCAAGAACAAUGUCAAUAUCAUAUGAGCCACAUGUUUCAAAAAGAGUUUUCAAGGCUCAAGAGAUGCUUGUAGAUAUGUUCUUUUCAUGGCAAUUUCAAUCAUGGCUCCCUAUGCAUAAUUCAAAACACACAACUUUUUUUUUAAUUUUUUUUUAAUUUUUUUUUUUUUUUAAUUUAGAAAUCACAAGAAAAUCCAAAAUGCAAAUCAUUAAAAUCCACACAAAUGCAAAGUGCUAGAUAUGUCAAAUGCAAAUCAUCCAAAUAAAAACAAGCAAAAUGAUCAGUUUUUAUAGUACCUCCACCACACCCGAAUCACACAGUCUCUUGUGUGACUUUGAAUUUGGAGUGGUUUACAUGAUAGGUGAAAUAAAAAUUACUAGAGAUGUGGAGAGAUUUUAAACCGGAUUAGAGUAGUUACCUUGUGACUGUAGGGACAUGAGCAUGUCACUAUGGAUAUGUCGCUACGGUCCUUAGCAAAAUAUUGCAUUCUCCUCGUUUGGUCGUAGCAACAUGAGGAUGUCGCUAUGCACGUCGCUAAGGUUGUCCGUAAAGGGUUAUAGCGACAUGUGUGGGUCGCUAUGAGCAUGUCUCCACAGCACUUGUGUUUCUUUCCUAGCCUCUUUUGAAACCUUUCCUUUUCCUGAGCACCUUCCAAACUGAAAUCACACACAAUUCACACAAACAAACACACAAACAAGGAUAGUUCACACAAUUUAUUAAAAACAUUCACACAUAUAUACAAAGGAUACUCUUGGGAUUUCCUCCCAAGUGAGCUUGUUUUAAGUCUCUAGCUUGACUUUGCCUCCUUUAGGUUAGACUGUGGUUGGAUCGGAAAGUGGAACUGAAGUUCCCAGGUCUUCCGAUUUGGUUCCCAAGUAAAGCUUAGCCCUUUGUCCAUUGAUGGUGAACUCUCUUCCAUCAGAACUCCACAAAACUAUUGCUCCAUAAGGUUUAACCUCUUUAACCUUGAAAGGACCAGACCACCUUGACUUGAGCUUGCCUGGAAACAACUUCAGUCUGGAGUUGUUGAGAAGAACUUGAUCUCCUUCUUUAAAGUCUCUUUUCAGGAUAUGUUUGUCAUGGAGAGCCUUUGUUUUCUCUUUGUAGAUCUUUGAACUUUCAAAAGCUUCAAGUCUUAUCUCAUCAAGUUCGUUUAGCUGGAUCAAUCUCUUCUCCUUGGCACUCUUGAUGUCAAAGUUCAGCAACUUGACUGCCCAUAGUGCCUUGUACUCAAGCUCAACUGGUAGAUGGCAAGACUUUCCAUAGAGAAGGUUGAAAGGUGUAGUUCCCAAAGGUGUCUUGUAAGCUGUCCUAUAAGCCCACAAUGCAUCAUCAAGCUUGAUGGACCAAUCUUUUCUUGUAACCCCCACAAUCUUCUCCAGAAUGGACUUGAUCUCCCUGUUGGAAAUCUCAACUUGACCACUUGUUUGGGGGUGGUAAGGAGUUGCAACCUUGUGCUUCACACCAUUCUUCUUAAGGAGGUUUGCAAACAGUUUGUUGAUGAAGUGAGACUCUCCAUCACUGAUCACAACUCUUGGAAUCCCAAACCUUGGAAAGAUUAUGCUCUUGAACAUUUUUAGAACCACCUUUGCAUCAUUGGUUGGACUUGCAAUUGCUUCAACCCACUUAGAGACAUAAUCUACAGCCAUCAGUAUGUACUUGUUGGUAUAAGAUGAAGGAAAAGGCCUCAUGAAGUCAAUACCCCAGACAUCAAACACUUCAACUUCUAGGAUGGGGUUUUGAGGCAUUUCAUUCCUUUUGGUGAUGUUUCCUCUUCUUUGACAAGAGUCACACCUUGAGACAAAGUCUUGGGUGUCUUUAAACAUGUGAGGCCACCAAAAUCCAGCUUGUAGCACCUUUGCAACUGUCUUAAAUGUAGCAAAGUGGCCUCCAUAGGAUGAUCCAUGACAAUGUGUAAGGAUCCCAUCAAUUUCUUCUUCAGCCACUGCCCUUCUAUAUAGUUGAUCUCUACAAAGUAUGUAGAGGUAAGGCUCAUCCCAAUAAUAUCUCUUCACAUCCUUAUAGAAUUUCUUCUUGGCAUAACCUUCAAGGUUCAAUGGCUCUUUUCCACUAGCUAAGUAGUUGACUAUAUCAGCAUACCAAGGACCCUUCUCAUCAGCCGCCUUCACCUCUUCAAGUUUCUUUCCUGUCUCACAAACAGCUACCACUGCAUGAAUAGCCAUCAUUUGCUCUUCUGGAAGUCUGUCAUCAAUAGGGAUUCCACACUCCACCUUCAACCUGGACAGGUGAUCAGCUACUCCAUUCUCAACUCCAGGCCUGUCCUUGAUCUCAAGAUCAAACUCUUGUAGCAGCAGAAUCCACCUCAAUAGUCUUGGUUUUGCAUCUUUCUUGGCUAAGAGGUGUCUCAAUGCAGCAUGAUCAGUGUAGACAGUCACCUUUGACCCAACCAAGUAGCUUCUAAACUUCUCAAAUGCAAAGACAAUGGCCAAUAGCUCCUUCUCAGUUGUAGAGUAUUUAGCUUGAGCUUAAUCAAGGGUUCUACUUGCAUAGUAGAUCACAUGUGACUUCUCGUCUCUCUUCUGGCCUAGGACUGCUCCUACAGCAAAGUCACUUGCAUCACACAUGAUCUCAAAGGGGAGAUCCCAAUCUGGCGGUUGAAUUAUGGGUGCACUGAUGAGUGCAUUCUUCAGGUUUUUGAAAGCUUCCAUACAUUCCCCAUCGAAGUGAAAUGCAGCUUCUUUGCAUAACAGCCUAGUCAAUGGUCUAGCUAUCUUAGAGAAAUCCAUGAUGAAUCUUCUAUAGAAACCGGCAUGACCCAGAAAGCUUCUUAUAUCCUUCACUGUUCUUGGUGGAGCUAGACCAACCAUGACAUCUAUCUUGGCUUUGUCCACUUCAAUUCCUUUCUGAGAAACUUUUUGUCCAAGAACAAUCCCUUCCUUGACCAUGAAGUGACACUUCUCCCAAUUGAGCACCAGGUUAGUGUCCUCACAUCUCUGUAAUACCCUGCAAAGAUUUGACAAAAAAGUAGCAAACGAAGAACCGUAUACAGAAAAAUCAUCCAUAAACACGUCCAUUACAUCCUCAAUAAGAUCAGAGAAAAUUGACAUCAUUGCUCUUUGGAAUGUUGUUGGUGCAUUGCACAGUCCAAAUGGCAUCCUUCGAUAUGCAAAGGUACCAUAAGGACAAGUGAAUGUCGUUUUCUCUUGGUCAUUUGGGUGUAUAGGGAUUUGGAAAAAUCCAGAGUAUCCAUCAAGGAAACAAUAAUAAGGAUGGUUAGCUAGCCUCUCUAACAUCUGAUCAAUAAAUGGUAAAUGGAAAUGAUCCUUUCUAAAGGCUGUAUUCAGUUUUCGAUAGUCAAUGUACAUCCUGUGUCCAAUUAUUGUUCUUGUUGGUAUUAACUCAUCAUUUUCGUUCUUAACAACUGUUAUGCCACCUUUUUUAGGAACUACAUGCACAGGUGAAACCCAAUUGCUAUCAGAGAUAGGAUAGAUCACACCAGCAUCUAACAAUUUGAUUAUCUCUUUUUUAACAACAUCUUUCAAAUUAGGAUUUAAUCUUCUUUGGUGUUCAAUUGAAGUUUUAGAUUCAUCUUCUAGAUGUAUCCUAUGCAUGCACAAAGAUGGUAAGAUUCCUUUAAUGUCAUCAAGUGAGUAUCCUAGUGCUUUUCUAUACUUUUUAAGUUCAUUUAAAAGCAUAGACAAUUCAUUCUCAGUCAGCUCACUACUCACAAUGACAGGAUAUGUCUCAUUAGGUCCAAGGAAAGCAUACCUUACACCAUGGGGAAGAGGUUUAAGCUCCACUUUUGGUGCCUUGAGCUCACUCCAAUCAGCUUCAUGGAGGUUCUCUUGAAUAUCUGCUGAGGCAGCAUGUUGAGUCAUUUGUGGCAACUCCAUGAACUCAUCUUUUGCAUCCUCCUCAAGGUGAACAUCUAGCCUUCUUACUAGCUCAUCACUCUCUUUGUUUUCAAUCAUUUGGGUCUCUCGUUCAAUGGUCAGGGCAUGUUGAAGAGAGUCCUCAAUCGCUAACUCCUCAAGGAAAUCAUCAGCCAAGGCAUCCAUCUCAUCAAUGUAGAAUAUUUCUCCUUGAGUUGUGGGCUUCUUCAUCAUCUCCUUGAUAUCAAAAUGGAGAAUGUGAUCUUUUCCAAGGUGGAGAUCAAUUGUGCCAUCUCUCACAUUCACCAUUGCUCCAGCAGUUGCCAAGAAAGGUCUUCCAAAGAUCAAAGGAUCUCUAGUCUCUUCAUCCAUCUCAAGCACUACAAAGUCAAUAGGCACUUCACAAUUUCCUAUCUUGACAGGAAGAUCUUCUAGGAUGCCAAUGGGGAGCUUGACAGAUCGAUCAGCUAGCACCAAAGAGAUCUUGCAUUUUUAUAUUGUGUAAACCCAAGCUUCUUGGCAAUGGAUAGUGGCAUGAGGCUGACACUUGCUCCCAAAUCACAUAGACAUUUCUCAAAUGUCAAAGGUCCAAUGGCGCAUGGCAGGGUGAAACUACCAGGGUCUUCUAGCUUCCUUGGGACAGUCAGUCUCUGAAUAAUGGCACUACACUCAUGAGUAAGAAUCACCAUCCCUUCCAUCUCUUUCUUCUUUUGUUCUACAGCAUCUUUCAAGAACUUGAUGUAUUGUGGAACUAGCAUAAAUGCAUCAAUUAUGGGCAUGGUGAGCAGAACUUCACUCAUUUGCUUGUCAAACAAGGCUUUGUACUUCUCUAGGAGUUGCUUCUUGAAUCUUCCAGGAAAGGGAAGCUUCGGCUCAUAGGGAGGAGGAGUGAACAAUUUCUCCUUUGUUGAUGUAGCAGCCUCAUUUUUGUUCUCAACUUUCUCCUCUCCCAUCUUUCUCUUGCCCUUAGCUUCAACUAUCUUCUCCAAGAUUUCCUCAUUAGUCUUCUCAUCCACAAUCACCACAUCAUCAUCUACAUUGAUGACCACCUUCCCACCUUGUUUCUCAUUAUCCUUAAUGAGAACUUUAGGAGGCAACUCUCUUCCACUCCUUAGGGUGAUUGCCUUCAUUGUCUCCUUUGGGUUUUGUUCAGGCUUUCCAGGUAGGGAACCUUGUUGGCGACUUGAGCUGGCUGUCAUAGAGACAAACUGGUUCUCCAAGGCUUUGAACUUGUUGUUUAGAUCAUGGUAAUUCCCAUCAAUCUUGUUGUGGAGAUUUUUCAGCUCAUACCCUAAUUGUUUCUCACUUCUUGUUUGUCCCUCCAAUAAUUGUUUCAGCAUAGCUUCAGUACUACUCUCUUGUGGAGGUUGUGUUGAUGAUCCAGUUUGGUCUUGUGCAGGUUGACUUGGUUUUGGUGAGAAUCCAGGAGGGAAGUUCUGUUUGGGUUGGUAACCACCUUGGUUGUUGUUGUAAAAUGGCUUAGGCUGAUUGUUGUAGAAUGGUCUUGGCUGGUAGUUGUUGAAUGGCUUAUGUUGGUUGUUGUAGAAGGGUUUCUGUUGGUAGUUGUUCUGAUAUUGAUAGUCAGGCUCCUUCUUGUACCAUGUACCCUGAGCAUUGACAUAGUACAUAUCUUCUUGGCAUUCUACUCCAUCAACUUCAGCAACCAUAUGUAACUCCUCUUUCUUGGUCUUUUCUGAUAGUAGCAUGUCAAUCUUGUCUUGAAGUGCUUUCAGUUCUCUCUUUGUGGUCAUAUCUUCUCCUCCACCACCUCUGUCUCUUCUAUCAUAUUCAUCAUUGUAUACAGAGUCACUGUGUGCCAUGUUCUCCAAGAGUUCUAAAGCAUCUUCGACAGUCCUCCCCAAGAAGUUUCCAUUGCUUGCAGUGUCGAGUUGGCUUUUGAAUUUAGGCAAGACUCCUCUGUAGAAAGUGCUUAGCAAGCUCUCAUUGUUGAAGCCAUGGUGGGGACAUUGAGACAAGUAGCUUCUGAAUCUCUCCCAUGCCUCUGAAAAUCCUUCAAGUCCUCUUUGUUGAAAACCAGAGAUCUGAUUUCUAAGGUUGGCAGUCCUUGUAGCAGAGAAGAACUUGUGGAGGAAGGCCUUCUUGCAUUCAUCCCAAGUGGUGAUAGUAUCACUUGAGAUGUUUUUCUCCCAAGUGUGAGCCUUGUCUCCCAAAGAGAAGGGAAACAAUCUGAGCUUGAAAGCAUCCUCUGAAACUCCAUUUGUUUUUGACAAGCCACAAUACUUAUCAAAUCUGUCAAGGUGAUCUAGUGGGUCUUCCAAGGCAAGUCCAUGGUACUUGUUGUUUUCAAUCAUGUUGAUGAGGCUGGACUUGAUCUCAAAAUUAUUGUUGGCAACUGAGGGUGCCCUAAUGCCCAACCUAUUCCCAUUUAUGUUCGAUUGAUCAUAUGUACCAAUGGCUCUAGCUUGGCGUUGUGGUUGUCUAGGUCGAAGGUUGGCAGCUCCUUGACCAUUUCCCUCUUCAGCUUGAGGUUGUUCUGGAACUGGUUCCAUCAUAGGUUCUGAUCUUUGUUUCUGAGCCUCUUGCUCUUCUUGUCUUAACCUUCUCAUGUUCUCUCUUUCAAGUGUUUUGAUAUCUGUCAAGGGAGUAAGAUGUGUAGUGCCUCUACUUCUUAGGUUCAUGCACCUGCGAUCACAAGUAGAUGAAGAAGUAGAAUUAGUAACUUUAAAACAAAGUUAAACUCAGUCUCAAGCAAAGACUUAAACUCAAUGUCACAAUCAGACUAGGAUUGGCAACGGCGCCUAUUUGGUAAUAGGGUUUUUGCCUAUUGCAAAUGUUGUAGUAUAGUGGGGUGAAUGUCGAACCAGUCCUAGUGAUGUGAAUCAGUGAGAAUACAAGUCAUUUCUUAAGCUAAGCAGAUUCAAUAGUGGUGAGUGUGUGACAAGUAGCAAUAGCAAACAGAGCAAUACAACAAGGUUUUAAUCAAUUUAGACAAGUGAAUCCAUGGGUAUUGGGAAUUGACUUCAAGUAACUAAGAUCCAAUCUAGGUGACAAGCUUUCAAUCAGAGUAAUCUCUUAAGUCUAAACACAAUUUUAGACAAGUCCUAUGUCUAGGUAAAUGUCCAUUUGCUUAGAAAUCAUUAAACAUCAAAUGUCUUUGGCUUAAUUCAAUCAAGCAAUCUUUAAGUUCAAGUUUAAUAACCAUCUAGCAAUUUUAACAUCAAGUGUCCUUGGCUAAUCUCACUAGAGCUUAGUUGAGAUGAUUCAAACACUUCAUCUAAUCAUGUCUGAUGAGAAGUGUUUAGAAAUCAGGUUUAGAGUGAUCAAGACUAAACAAGCAUUAAAAAUACUCAACAAGCAAGUUUAUACAAGGAUCUAAUACAAUAACACCAUAGAUCUUCACUAAGUUACUCUAAUCUCCCUAACCCAUGAAUUCUUAAGGAAACUACUCACUACUCUUCAUGAUAAACCCAAGAAUCAAAGAUGAUUUGGUGUGAAUCAUGAUUGGUGAUCAAUCAAACAAAUACAAGAAAAUAAGAAGUAAAGAUACUAAAGAUUCAAGCUUUUCUCUUGGUAGAGUUUUUGUGUUCUUUUUCUGGAAAAACAAGAUAGAUCCCCAAUUUUUGUCUGAAAAGUAGUUAUAGAAGACUAAAACUCGAGCUGGGUUAACCCAACAAGCCUGGGUUGACCCAUAAAAACAUAGAUAUUUUUCUCCGUAGCGACCAUAAAAGGUCGCUACGUGUGGCCGCUAGGAUACUUAGACAAUUUUUUCUGCAUUCUUGAACUCGUAGCGACCUCAUGAAGUCGCUAUGGCUGGCCGCUGUAGAAGGCGCUUGAAGUCCUGAACGCAUAGCGACCUCAUUAUGCCGCUACGUGUGGCCGCUAGGAUACUUAGACGAUUUUAUUUUGCAUUCUUGAACUCGUAGCGACCUCAUGAAGUCGCUAUGGCUGGCCGCUGUAGAAGGCGCUUGAAGUCCUGAACGCAUAGCGACCUCAUAAUACCGCUACGUGUGGCCGCUAGGAUACUUAGACGUCGCUCCGGAUUCGUUGUCUCCGGGUGAUCAAUACGCGAGCGACUCUUCCCUGUCGCUCUAGUAAGGUCGCUCUGAUAGGGAGAUCAGAGCGACUUGACGGUGUCGCUCCCAGCUGGUCGCUCUAGUAAGGUGCUCGCCCAAUGAUCACUUUUAACAUUUCUUUUGGACUCCAAUUGCACUCAAAAUCCCACCAAUGGUCCUCUAAUUCAUCCAUGGUGCUCUCCAACACCUGAUAUGUACAAAUGCAAUGAUAUGCAACCUAAAUGUGCCUAAAUGAUGCUCUAAAUGACCAAACCAUGCAAGAAUAAGAAGUUAAAAACAUGUAAAUUCACAAGAUAUCAGGUACAUGGUACAAGAAGGAGCCUGACUAUCAAUACCAGAACAACUACCAACAGAAACCCUUUUACAACAACCAACAUAAGCCUUUCAACAACUACCAGCCAAGACCAUUCUACAACAAUCAGCCUAAGCCAUUUUACAACAACAACCAAGGUGGUUAUCAACCCAAACAGAACUUCCCUCCUGGAUUCUCACCAAAACCAAGUCAACCUGCACAAGACCAAACUGGAUCAUCAACACAACCUCCACAAGAGAGUAGUACUGAAGCUAUGCUGAAACAAUUAUUGGAGGGACAAACAAGAAGUGAGAAACAAUUAGGGUAUGAGCUGAAAAAUCUCCACAACAAGAUUGAUGGGAAUUACCAUGAUCUAAACAACAAGUUCAAAGCCUUGGAGAACCAGUUUGUCUCUAUGACAGCCAGCUCAAGUCGCCAACAAGGUUCCCUACCUGGAAAGCCUGAACAAAACCCAAAGGAGACAAUGAAGGCAAUCACCCUAAGGAGUGGAAGAGAGUUGCCUCCUAAAGUUCUCAUUAAGGAUAAUGAGAAACAAGGUGGGGAGGUGGUCAUCAAUGUAGAUGAUGAUGUGGUGAUUGUGGAUGAGAAGACUAAUGAGGAAAUCUUGGAGAAGAUAGUUGAAGCUAAGGGCAAGAGAAAGAUUGGAGAUGAGAAAGUUGAGAACAAAAAUGAGGCUGCUACAUCAACAAAGGAGAAAUUGUUCACUCCUCCUCCCUAUGAGCCAAAGCUUCCCUUUCCUGGAAGAUUCAAGAAGCAACUCCUAGAGAAGUACAAAACCUUGUUUGACAAGCAAAUGAGUGAAGUUCAGCUCACCAUGCCCAUAAUUGAUGCAUUUAUGCUGGUUCCACAAUACAGCAAGUUCUUGAAAGAUGCUGUAGAACAAAAGAAGAAAGAGAUGGAAGGGAUGGUGAUUCUUACUCAUGAGUGCAGUGCCAUUAUUCAGAGACUGACUGUCCCAAGGAAGCUAGAAGACCCUGGUAGUUUCACCCUGCCAUGCGCCAUUGGACCUUUGACAUUUGAGAAAUGUCUAUGUGAUUUGGGAGCAAGUGUCAGCCUCAUGCCACUAUCCAUUGCCAAGAAGCUUGGGUUUACACAAUAUAAAAAGUGCAAGAUCUCUUUGGUGCUAGCUGAUCGAUCUGUCAAGCUCCCCAUUGGCAUCCUAGAAGAUCUUCCUGUCAAGAUAGGAAAUUGUGAAGUGCCUACUGACUUUGUAGUGCUUGAGAUGGAUGAAGAGCCUAGAGAUCCUUUGAUCUUUGGAAGACCUUUCUUGGCAACUGCUGGAGCAAUGGUGAAUGUGAGAGAUGGCACAAUUGAUCUCCACCACAACUCAAGGAGAAAUAUUCUAUAUUGAUGAGAUGGAUGCCUUGGCUGAUGAUUUCCUUGAGGAGUUAGCGAUUGAGGACUCUCUUCAACAUGCCCUGACCAUUGAAAGAGAGACCCAAAUGAUUGAAAACAAAGAGAGUGAUGAGCUAGUAAGAAGGCUAGAUGUUCACCUUGAGGAGGAUGCAAAAGAUGAGUUCAUGGAGUUGCCACAAAUGACUCAACAUGCUGCCUCAGCAGACAUUCAAGAGAACCACCAUGAAGCUGAUUGGAGUGAGCUCAAGGCACCAAAAGUGGAGCUUAAACCUCUUCCCCAUGGUGUAAGGUAUGCUUUCCUUGGACCUAAUGAGACAUAUCCUGUCAUUGUGAGUAGUGAGCUGACUGAGAAUGAAUUGUCUAUGCUUUUAAAUGAACUUAAAAAGUAUAGAAAAGCACUAGGAUACUCACUUGAUGACAUUAAAGGAAUCUCACCAUCUUUGUGCAUGCAUAGGAUACAUCUAGAAGAUGAAUCUAAAACUUCAAUUGAACACCAAAGAAGAUUAAAUCCUAAUUUGAAAGAUGUUGUUAAAAAAGAGAUAAUCAAAUUGUUAGAUGCUGGUGUGAUCUAUCCUAUCUCUGAUAGCAAUUGGGUUUCACCUGUGCAUGUAGUUCCUAAAAAAGGUGGCAUAACAGUUGUUAAGAACGAAAAUGAUGAGUUAAUACCAACAAGAACAAUAAUUGGACACAGGAUGUGCAUUGACUAUCGAAAACUGAAUACAACCUCUAGAAAGGAUCAUUUCCCUUUACCAUUCAUUGAUCAGAUGUUAGAGAGGCUAGCUAAAGGCUAGCUAACCAUCCUUAUUAUUGUUUCCUUGAUGGAUACUCUGGAUUUUUCCAAAUCCCUAUACACCCAAAUGACCAAGAGAAAACGACAUUCACUUGUCCUUAUGGUACCUUUGCAUAUCGAAGGAUGCCAUUUGGACUGUGCAAUGCACCAGCAACAUUCCAAAGAGCAAUGAUGUCAAUUUUCUCUGAUCUUAUUGAGGAUGUAAUGGAGGUGUUUAUGGAUGAUUUUUCUGUAUACGGUUCUUCGUUUGCUACUUGUUUGUCAAAUCUUUGCAGGGUAUUACAGAGAUGUGAGAACACUAACCUGGUGCUCAAUUGGGAGAAGUGUCACUUCAUGGUCAAGGAAGGGAUUGUUCUUGGACACAAAGUUUCUCAGAAAGGAAUUGAAGUGGACAAAGCCAAGAUAGAUGUCAUGGUUGGUCUAGCUCCACCAAGAACAGUGAAGGAUAUAAGAAGCUUUCUGGGUCAUGCCGGUUUCUAUAGAAGAUUCAUCAUGGAUUUCUCUAAGAUAGCUAGACCAUUGACCAGGCUGUUAUGCAAAGAAGCUGCAUUUCACUUCGAUGGGGAAUGUAUGGAAGCUUUCAAAAACCUGAAGAAUGCACUCAUCAGUGCACCCAUAGUUCAACCGCCAGAGUCCUAAGAAGGAAGAAGUUUGAAAAAGGGAGCUCAUAGCCAAAAGACACACAUCUACAACCAACAUAAGCCUUUCAACAACUACCAGCCAAGACCAUUCUACAACAAUCAGCCUAAGCCAUUUUACAACAACAACCAAGGUGGUUAUCAACCCAAACAGAACUUCCCUCCUGGAUUCUCACCAAAACCAAGUCAACCUGCACAAGACCAAACUGGAUCAUCAACACAACCUCCACAAGAGAGUAGUACUGAAGCUAUGCUGAAACAAUUAUUGGAGGGACAAACAAGAAGUGAGAAACAAUUAGGGUAUGAGCUGAAAAAUCUCCACAACAAGAUUGAUGGGAAUUACCAUGAUCUAAACAACAAGUUCAAAGCCUUGGAGAACCAGUUUGUCUCUAUGACAGCCAGCUCAAGUCGCCAACAAGGUUCCCUACCUGGAAAGCCUGAACAAAACCCAAAGGAGACAAUGAAGGCAAUCACCCUAAGGAGUGGAAGAGAGUUGCCUCCUAAAGUUCUCAUUAAGGAUAAUGAGAAACAAGGUGGGGAGGUGGUCAUCAAUGUAGAUGAUGAUGUGGUGAUUGUGGAUGAGAAGACUAAUGAGGAAAUCUUGGAGAAGAUAGUUGAAGCUAAGGGCAAGAGAAAGAUUGGAGAUGAGAAAGUUGAGAACAAAAAUGAGGCUGCUACAUCAACAAAGGAGAAAUUGUUCACUCCUCCUCCCUAUGAGCCAAAGCUUCCCUUUCCUGGAAGAUUCAAGAAGCAACUCCUAGAGAAGUACAAAACCUUGUUUGACAAGCAAAUGAGUGAAGUUCAGCUCACCAUGCCCAUAAUUGAUGCAUUUAUGCUGGUUCCACAAUACAGCAAGUUCUUGAAAGAUGCUGUAGAACAAAAGAAGAAAGAGAUGGAAGGGAUGGUGAUUCUUACUCAUGAGUGCAGUGCCAUUAUUCAGAGACUGACUGUCCCAAGGAAGCUAGAAGACCCUGGUAGUUUCACCCUGCCAUGCGCCAUUGGACCUUUGACAUUUGAGAAAUGUCUAUGUGAUUUGGGAGCAAGUGUCAGCCUCAUGCCACUAUCCAUUGCCAAGAAGCUUGGGUUUACACAAUAUAAAAAGUGCAAGAUCUCUUUGGUGCUAGCUGAUCGAUCUGUCAAGCUCCCCAUUGGCAUCCUAGAAGAUCUUCCUGUCAAGAUAGGAAAUUGUGAAGUGCCUACUGACUUUGUAGUGCUUGAGAUGGAUGAAGAGCCUAGAGAUCCUUUGAUCUUUGGAAGACCUUUCUUGGCAACUGCUGGAGCAAUGGUGAAUGUGAGAGAUGGCACAAUUGAUCUCCACCACAACUCAAGGAGAAAUAUUCUAUAUUGAUGAGAUGGAUGCCUUGGCUGAUGAUUUCCUUGAGGAGUUAGCGAUUGAGGACUCUCUUCAACAUGCCCUGACCAUUGAAAGAGAGACCCAAAUGAUUGAAAACAAAGAGAGUGAUGAGCUAGUAAGAAGGCUAGAUGUUCACCUUGAGGAGGAUGCAAAAGAUGAGUUCAUGGAGUUGCCACAAAUGACUCAACAUGCUGCCUCAGCAGACAUUCAAGAGAACCACCAUGAAGCUGAUUGGAGUGAGCUCAAGGCACCAAAAGUGGAGCUUAAACCUCUUCCCCAUGGUGUAAGGUAUGCUUUCCUUGGACCUAAUGAGACAUAUCCUGUCAUUGUGAGUAGUGAGCUGACUGAGAAUGAAUUGUCUAUGCUUUUAAAUGAACUUAAAAAGUAUAGAAAAGCACUAGGAUACUCACUUGAUGACAUUAAAGGAAUCUCACCAUCUUUGUGCAUGCAUAGGAUACAUCUAGAAGAUGAAUCUAAAACUUCAAUUGAACACCAAAGAAGAUUAAAUCCUAAUUUGAAAGAUGUUGUUAAAAAAGAGAUAAUCAAAUUGUUAGAUGCUGGUGUGAUCUAUCCUAUCUCUGAUAGCAAUUGGGUUUCACCUGUGCAUGUAGUUCCUAAAAAAGGUGGCAUAACAGUUGUUAAGAACGAAAAUGAUGAGUUAAUACCAACAAGAACAAUAAUUGGACACAGGAUGUGCAUUGACUAUCGAAAACUGAAUACAACCUCUAGAAAGGAUCAUUUCCCUUUACCAUUCAUUGAUCAGAUGUUAGAGAGGCUAGCUAAAGGCUAGCUAACCAUCCUUAUUAUUGUUUCCUUGAUGGAUACUCUGGAUUUUUCCAAAUCCCUAUACACCCAAAUGACCAAGAGAAAACGACAUUCACUUGUCCUUAUGGUACCUUUGCAUAUCGAAGGAUGCCAUUUGGACUGUGCAAUGCACCAGCAACAUUCCAAAGAGCAAUGAUGUCAAUUUUCUCUGAUCUUAUUGAGGAUGUAAUGGAGGUGUUUAUGGAUGAUUUUUCUGUAUACGGUUCUUCGUUUGCUACUUGUUUGUCAAAUCUUUGCAGGGUAUUACAGAGAUGUGAGAACACUAACCUGGUGCUCAAUUGGGAGAAGUGUCACUUCAUGGUCAAGGAAGGGAUUGUUCUUGGACACAAAGUUUCUCAGAAAGGAAUUGAAGUGGACAAAGCCAAGAUAGAUGUCAUGGUUGGUCUAGCUCCACCAAGAACAGUGAAGGAUAUAAGAAGCUUUCUGGGUCAUGCCGGUUUCUAUAGAAGAUUCAUCAUGGAUUUCUCUAAGAUAGCUAGACCAUUGACCAGGCUGUUAUGCAAAGAAGCUGCAUUUCACUUCGAUGGGGAAUGUAUGGAAGCUUUCAAAAACCUGAAGAAUGCACUCAUCAGUGCACCCAUAGUUCAACCGCCAGAUUGGGAUCUCCCCUUUGAGAUCAUGUGUGAUGCAAGUGACUUUGCUGUAGGAGCAGUCCUAGGCCAGAAGAGAGACAAGAAGUCACAUGUGAUCUACUAUGCAAGUAGAACCCUUGAUGAAGCUCAAGCUAAAUACUCUACAACUGAGAAGGAGCUAUUGGCCAUUGUCUUUGCAUUUGAGAAGUUCAGAAGCUACUUGGUUGGGUCAAAGGUGACUGUCUACACUGAUCAUGCUGCAUUGAGACACCUCUUAGCCAAGAAAGAUGCAAAACCAAGACUAUUGAGGUGGAUUCUGCUGCUACAAGAGUUUGAUCUUGAGAUCAAGGACAUGCCUGGAGUUGAGAAUGGAGUAGCUGAUCACCUGUCCAGGUUGAAGGUGGAGUGUGGAAUCCCUAUUGAUGACAGACUUCCAGAAGAGCAAAUGAUGGCUAUUCAUGCAGUGGUAGCUGUUUGUGAGACAGGAAAGAAACUUGAAGAGGUGAAGGCGGCUGAUGAGAAGGGUCCUUGGUAUGCUGAUAUAGUCAACUACUUAGCUAGUGGAAAAGAGCCAUUGAACCUUGAAUGUUAUGCCAAGAAGAAAUUCUAUAAGGAUGUGAAGAGAUAUUAUUGGGAUGAGCCUUACCUCUACAUACUUUGUAGAGAUCAACUCUAUAGAAGGGCAGUGGCUGAAGAAGAAAUUGAUGGGAUCCUUACACAUUGUCAUGGAUCAUCCUAUGGAGGCCACUUUGCUACAUUUAAGACAGUUGCAAAGGUGCUACAAGCUGGAUUUUGGUGGCCUCACAUGUUUAAAGACACCCAAGACUUUGUCUCAAGGUGUGACUCUUGUCAAAGAAGAGGAAACAUCACCAAGAGGAAUGAAAUGCCUCAAAACCCCAUCCUAGAAGUUGAAGUGUUUGAUGUCUGGGGUAUUGACUUCAUGGGGCCUUUUCCUUCAUCUUAUACCAACAAGUACAUACUGGUGGCUGUAGAUUAUGUCUCUAAGUGGGUUGAAGCAAUUGCAAGUCCAACCAAUGAUGCAAAGGUGGUUCUAAAAAUGUUCAAGAGCAUAAUCUUUCCAAGGUUUGGGAUUCCAAGAGUUGUGAUCAGUGAUGGAGGGUCUCACUUCAUCAACAAACUGUUUGCAAACCUCCUUAAGAAGAAUGGUGUGAAGCACAAGGUUGCAACUCCUUACCACCCCCAAACAAGUGGUCAAGUUGAGAUUUCCAACAAGGAGAUCAAGUCCAUUCUGGAGAAGAUUGUGGGGGUUACAAGAAAAGAUUGGUCCAUCAAGCUUGAUGAUGCAUUGUGGGCUUAUAGGACAGCUUACAAGACACCUUUGGGAACUACACCUUUCAACCUUCUCUAUAGAAAGUCUUGCCAUCUACCAGUUGAGCUUGAGUACAAGGCACUAUGGGCAGUCAAGUUGCUGAACUUUGACAUCAAGAGUGCCAAGGAGAAGAGAUUGAUCCAGCUGAACGAACUUGAUGAGAUAAGACUUGAAGCUUUUGAAAGUUCAAAGAUCUACAAAGAGAAAACAAAGGCUCUCCAUGACAAACAUAUCUUGAAAAGAGACUUUAAAGAAGGAGAUCAAGUUCUUCUCUACAACUCCAGACUGAAGUUUUUUCCAGGCAAGCUCAAGUCAAGGUGGUCUGGUCCUUUCAAGGUUAAAGAGGUUAAACCUUAUGGAGCAAUAGUUUUGUGGAGUUCUGAUGGAAGAGAGUUCACCAUCAAUGGACAAAGGGCUAAGCUUUACUUGGGAACCAAAUCGGAAGACCUUGGAACUUCAGUUCCACUUUCCGAUCCAACCACAGUCUAACCUAAGGGAGGCAAAGUCAAGCUAGAGACUUAAAACAAGCUCACUUGGGAGGAAAUCCCAAGAGUAUCCUUUGUAUAUAUGUGUGAAUGUUUUUAAUAAAUUGUGUGAACUAUCCUUGUUUGUGUGUUUGUUUGUGUGAAUUGUGUGUGAUUUCAGUUUGGAGGGUGCUCAGGAAAAGGAAAGGUUUCAAAAGAGGCUAGGAAAGAAACACAAGUGCUGUAGAGACAUGCUCAUAGCGACCCACACAUGUCGCUAUAACCCUUUACGGACAACCUUAGCGACGUGCAUAGCGACAUCCUCAUGUUGCUACGACCAAACGAGGAGAAUGCAAUAUUUGGCUAAGGACCGUAGCGACAUAUCCAUAGUGACAUGCUCAUGUCGCUACAGUCACAAGGUAACUACUCUAAUCCGGUUUAAAAUCUCUCCACAUCUCUAGUAAUUUUUAUUUCACCUAUCAUGUAAACCACUCCAAAUUCAAAGUCACACAAGAGACUGUGUGAUUCGGGUGUGGUGGAGGUACUAUAAAAACUUAUCAUUUUGCUUGUUUUUAUUUGGAUGAUUUGCAUUUGACAUAUCUAGCACUUUGCAUUUGUGUGGAUUUUAAUGAUUUGCAUUUUGGAUUUUCUUGUCAUUUCUAAAUUAAAAAAACAAAAAAAAACAAAUUUAAAAAAAAAAAAGUUGUGUGUUUUGAAUUAUGCAUAGGGAGCCAUGAUUGAAAUUGCCAUGAAAAGAACAUAUCUACAAGCAUCUCUUGAGCCUUGAAAACUCUUUUUGAAACAUUUGGCUCAUAUGAUAUUGACAUUGUUCUUGAAACCAAUUACAAACUGAACUUGGGCAUAAUGAAUUUAAUCUCUCUUGCAUAUGGGCACUUACAUACUUAAUCAUGGAUUUCAUACACAUUUGGGUUAUCUUAUUCCAUGUAAUAUCCUUUGAUUAACCCAAAUGGCAGUCUCUUACCCUUGAACCUUUGCCAUUCUUUGAAACCAAUAUUGAUUUGUUGAGUGAGGUCUCUUAUUGAUAGCUUGUUAUGUGCAAAAUCUUGAGAGUAUUGGGAGCGACAUAUGUUUGUUCUCAUCUAUUGCUAGCAUAAGAUCCUCAUUUGAACUAGCAUCUAGGAUGGUGAGUGAGUUUGUGUGUUUUUAAGUUGUUAUAUCUUGGGUUUGAGAGAAGAGAAAAAGAUCAAAGAGUGUCAAUAAGAAAAGAAAACCAAUAGGAACCAAGAAAAUAAAAGAAGAAAAACUCUUAAGUGUGUCAAUUAGAAUUCCCCAAAGUAAAAAAAAAAAUGAAUGAAAAAUCAUAAUGGGGAAAGAAAAAGAGUGUCAAGUUCUUAGUUGGUUGAUCAUGUAAAUAAAAAAAAAAAAGAGAGAGUUCACUUGGUGAGAAAUGUGAGUGAAGUGUAUAUACUUGGGGUUUGAAAUAUAAAAGAUGGGGAGAAUUUAUAAUCACUUAGGAAGAAGAGUAGAAUGAUGAGAAUGAGCUAUGUAUGCAUGAAUUGCUCCUAGUCUUAGAUAAAUUUUGCAUAAUGAUCAUGCUCCUUGUUCUUGAGUGAUUCUUCCUUCUUAGGACUUGAAAGUUUACUUGAGGACAAGUAAAGGACUAGUGUGGGGGAGUUGAUAUCUUGUGAAUUUACAUGUUUUUAACUUCUUAUUCUUGCAUGGUUUGGUCAUUUAGAGCAUCAUUUAGGCACAUUUAGGUUGCAUAUCAUUGCAUUUGUACAUAUCAGGUGUUGGAGAGCACCAUGGAUGAGUUAGAGGACCAUUGGAGGGAUUUUGAGUCCAAAGAAUGAAGAUGAGUCGUUGAAGGCUCCUAGCGGCCAGGCGUAGCGGCAUCAUGAGGUCGCUAUGCGCGUAGCGGCCAGGCGUAGCGGCAUCAUGAGGUCGCUAUGCGUUCAGGACUUCAAGCGCCUUCUACAGCGGCCAGCCAUAGCGACUUCAUGAGGUCGCUACGAGUUCAAGAAUGCAGAAAAAAUUGUCUAAGUAUCCUAGCGGCCACACGUAGCGACCUUUUAUAUUAUGAGGUCGCUAUGCGUUCAGGACUUCAAGCGCCUUCUACAGCGGCCAGCCAUAGCGACUUCAUGAGGUCGCUACGAGUUCAAGAAUGCAGAAAAAAUUGUCUAAGUAUCCUAGCGGCCACACGUAGCGACCUUUUAUGGUCGCUACGGAGAAAAAUAUCUAUGUUUUUAUGGGUCAACCCAGGCUUGUUGGGUUAACCCAGCUCGAGUUUUAGUCUUCUAUAACUACUUUUCAGACAAAAAUUGGGGAUCUAUCUUGUUUUUCCAGAAAAAGAACACAAAAACUCUACCAAGAGAAAAGCUUGAAUCUUUAGUAUCUUUUCUUCUUAUUUUCUUGUAUUUGUUUGAUUGAUCACCAAUCAUGAUUAACACCAAAUCAUCUUUGAUUCUUGGGUUUAUCAUGAAGAGUAGUGAGUAGUUUCCUUAAGAAUUCAUGGGUUAGGGAGAUUAGAGUAACUUAGUGAAGAUCUAUGGUGUUAUUGUAUUAGAUCCUUGUAUAAACUUGCUUGUUGAGUAUUUUUAAUGCUUGUUUAGUCUUGAUCACUCUAAACCUGAUUUCUAAACACUUCUCAUCAGACAUGAUUAGAUGAAGUGUUUGAAUCAACUCAACUAAGCUCUAGUGAGAUUAGCCAAGGACACUUGAUGUUAAAAUUGCUAGAUGGUUAUUAAACUUGAACUUAAAGAUUGCUUGAUUGAAUUAAGCCAAAGACAUUUGAUGUUUAAUGAUUUCUAAGCAAAUGGACAUUUACCUAGACAUAGGACUUGUCUAAAAUUGUGUUUAGACUUAAGAGAUUACUUUGAUUGAAAGCUUGUCACCUAGAUUGGAUCUUAGUUACUUGAAGUCAAUUCCCAAUACCCAUGGAUUCACUUGUCUAAAUUGAUUAAAACCUUGUUGUAUUGCUCUGUUUGCUAUUGCUACUUGUCACACACUCACCACUAUUGAAUCUGCUUAGCUUAAGAAAUGACUUGUAUUCUCACUGAUUCACAUCACUAGGACUGGUUCGACAUUCACCCCACUAUACUACAACAUUUGCAAUAGGCAAAAACCCUAUUACCAUUCGAUUUAAUUCAUUUGGUUUUCCAAUUCUGUUUUGAUUUCAAAUCAUACAUUUAAUUCCAUAUGAAAUUCUUUAUACUAUGAUUCAUUAUCAUAUUACCUAUUUAAGGUCGUAGGUGGAGUCCUCAUCUUUUCCACGCUAUAUAUGGUUAUGGUUACUUGGGCAUCGUAUAGAGAGAACAACAACAAACAACAGUUUUAGCCUUUUAGGAAAUGUGAUUGCUUCUUUUACUGAUGAGAGAAUUUCAGAACUUUUGAUCUACAGAGAUGAGGCUGAUGGUAAAGGAGUGUCGUUUUGAGUGUCAGGCACAAACUAUACCACAGACAGGCACAAACUAUACCACAGACAGUUUUCUUAGUUAAGCUCUGUUCGCCCAUCUCAUAAUUGGCUGCUUCCUUGAUUUUUUCGUUCAACUGAAGCAGUUGCAAAUUAGCAAAUAGAGUUGACAUGUAAGUUUUGAAAUAACCAAAAUAAGAUCAUGGCUAUUCCUGUCAAGAAUUAACAACUCAAUGGUAGUUGAUACCAAAAUUUAAUAAACUAUGUUUAUUUUAAUUUUCUUAAUAAUUUUGAAGAUUUGGGUAAAAAAUAUUUGUAAGUUGAAUUUUUUUUUUAAAAAACUAUUUUUUAUUUUCUAAAUAAUUUUAUUUUAAAAGUCAUCAUUAAACUUUAGUUGGAUUUAUUCCAAAUUAAAAUGAUAAUACAUCACCAUUUUUUGAAACACCGAGUAAUACAUCACCUUUUUUGAAACACCGAUAAUACACCACCCCAUUUCCAAUGAUUUUAAACCAGAUCCUAACACUGAACCGAACAAUUUCCCGAAUCACAGAGUUAUUGGGUAGACCGCGGACGAACCACAUAUUAAUGAAUUUAUUUAUUCUGUUAUGUAAUAAUGUAUUAGCUACUGAAAAUAUAAGAAAUAUUUUAUGUCUUAAAAAUAUAUAGAAGAAUAGUUAAAUUUAUUUUUCAUAUUUCUAUUUUUAUUUCACAUACAAAUUCAUAUGUAUUUGAAUGUCUAAUGUGAAUAAUAAAUUAAAAAAAUUUAAUCCAGAUAAACUAAAAGUAAAAUAUCAAAUUUUAAUAGAUUUUCGAUGACAAAAUACACUAAUACCAAAUCAAAUCAACUAGUUCUGGUUCUCUAUAUCAUAGUUCAUUUUAUUUUUUCAUGUGGCAUAAUGUGAUCUUCAUCAAAAUCUAAAAAUCACAAAUAAAAAUUAAAACUACCAAAGCUAUGUCGUAAGUAAGAUUCACGAUAAAAAAAAAAAGUCAAAGGACAUACAAACUCCACAACAGAGGAAAACAUAGUAAAAAUUAAAAACAUAACUUAUUAUUUAGAGUACAAAACAAAUUUUUAUAACAUAAUUCAAAGAUCUAAGAAAUAAAUAAGUAAAAGUUAUCUAUCGGCCCAACCAGUAGUUCAACCGAUAGUCAGAUUGCUGAUUUCAACUGUUUUUGCGGGUUUUAUCAGAUUUUUAAAUAAAAGGUUUUAAAAAAAAAAUCCAAAACCCCGGAUCAUCGGAUUUACCGGUUUGAUCGCGGAUCAUAGAUAUUCAUAUUUUUAGGGUAAACAUAGAAUAAUUUGCCUACCCCCUGACUGAAACCUUACGAACUUUGAUUGGAACAACACUGAAUGAUUUUGUCUCAUGACAUUCCUCAAACUCGAACCUUUUUUUCCUUCAGCCAAACUGCAAUACUAAGCGCAUACAAAAUGGUUCGGAGCCCGAUACACCGUGGUUUGGGUUAAACAAACCAAUAUACAAAUAACCCGACCCAGAAGUAUACCGGGUCCAUAAGUCGGGUGUCUCUUUCCUCCUCCUCCAGAGUUUUAUCAAAUCCACUUUCCCCAAUUCUUCUCCCAAAACUCUCUUCUUCUCGCUUCAGCCAUGGCAACCCUAUCUCUCUCAUCCUCUCUCAAACCUUCCCUCGUUUCGUCAAGACUCAGCUCAUCUUCCUCCGCCUCUUACUCUUCUUUCCCGAAACCCAGCAACCUCUCCCUCAAACCCGCCAAGCUCAUUUCACCUCCCUUGAGAACUUCCCCGUCGCCACUGAGAUUCGCGAACGCUUCAAUCGAGAUGUCGCAGACACAGGAGUCAGCUAUUCGCGGCGCCGAAUCCGACGUCAUGGGUCUUCUCCUUAGGGAACGAAUCGUCUUUCUCGGUAGCAGUAUCGACGAUUUCGUCGCCGACGCCAUAAUGAGCCAGUUGCUGCUCUUAGAUGCUAAAGAUCCUAAGAAAGACAUCAAACUCUUCAUCAAUUCCUCCGGUGGUUCCCUCAGGUUAAUUCUCGAUCUGGGUUUCUGCCGUAGUCGGAAAAGUUUCAGUCUUUAACUUCUUAACUCUGCCCUCGCAAGUUAGGUCAGAUCAUUAGGGUUUUACUUGGCAUUGCUAAAGUAAUUCAAUUUUGUGAAUUGUAGUGUCUCCGAAGUAUAAAUUAACCAUCGUUAAUGAAAGUUCAAACCUUUUCUGUGACUUCAAGUGAUAUCAGUUUUGUUGUUUACGAGUGUUUGAUUGCGUUGAGUUAUCUAACUUUAUGUCCCUUUGUUAUCUGUUUAGUGCAACGAUGGCUAUAUACGAUGUGGUUCAACUUGUGAGAGCUGACGUUUCCACAAUUGCUCUCGGCAUUGCUGCAUCAACAGCUUCCAUCAUUCUCGGUGCGGGAACUAAAGGCAAGCGCUUUGCUAUGCCCAACACGAGGAUAAUGAUUCAUCAGCCCCUUGGAGGUGCGAGCGGUCAAGCUAUAGAUGUUGAGAUCCAAGCUAAAGAAGUUAUGCACAACAAGAACAAUGUCACCAGCAUCAUCGCGGGAUGUACUAGCCGUUCGUUUGAGCAGGUCCUGAAAGAUAUUGAUAGGGACCGGUACAUGUCUCCGAUUGAAGCGGUUGAGUAUGGUUUGAUCGAUGGGGUUAUUGAUGGAGACAGUAUCAUUCCUCUGGAGCCUGUUCCUGAUAGGGUGAAACCGAGGGUGAACUAUGAGGAGAUUAGCAAAGAUCCGAUGAAGUUCUUGACUCCUGAGAUACCUGAUGAUGAGAUUUACUGAAAAGCCAAGCCUCGUCCAGAACCAGGUGAACUGACCAUAUGAGAGACUAUAGCUAGUUUCUGGUUAUUGUUUAGCCAUUGAUUUUUCAUCUUUUUACUACUUUAGCAGUGAAGUUUCAUAUAAUAUGCUUGAAUCUUCGUUUGUUGUCUAUUGAAGUGUAAUCCAAUGUUUCUUCAUCGUUUUAUUGUAUUUCCAGGGAUCUUCCAAUGCGAAUGAGAGUCGUAAGUUUAGAUAAUUGCGGCCAGGUUUACGAAAUGGAAGUUGCCUCUGUAUCUCAUAUUUUUGCUUAUUCAGAAAGAUAUUUGUUCUUAAAGACUCUGUUGUAAGCAUAACGACUUAAAGAAGCUGUAGUUGUUCAUUUCAUUUAUCUUAAUCUACGCCCUCCCUGGAAGCUUAUAGUGAUGAACCCCGUGUUAAAGCAACAGUUGUGUAAACUAAAAAGCUGAACUAUUCUACUAGAGACAAUAAAUUAACUAACUACGAACAGAGGAUGCAAAUUCUCACACAAUAAACCUAGAGAGUUCCAGUGACGAGUCUGUUUCAUCUAACUCCGGAUUGAAACGUCAGGAAGCAGAGAGACCUCAUCAUUGGACGUGUUACGCAGAGAAUUGGGAUUACUUGCAGCAAACUAAACCAAACCAAACCAAAUGGUUCAAUUUAGAAAUCAAUACAGUAGCGAUUCAAGACCUCUUGGCGGUAGUAUUUACUUUGACACGUAUGGGAGCAAUGGUCAUGUAUUUGCCAACUGUCCAAGCUUUAUGAGUGAGCCAUGCAUGAGGAGGCAUGUCAGGGCAACAUGUUAGCAGCUAGUGAAAGACUUGAGUAACUAUUUCACAUCAUCAUCAUCUUUCUACCUUUGGAUAUUCAGGUGAGAGGCAGUUUUUACCGGUUUAAGUUUACUUCUCUAGAUGUUUCAGUCGCAUUUUUGUGCCCUUUAGUUGUUUUUUCUUGGUUCUUUACAGAAGAUGUUGGUGCUUUGUAUAAAUCUAAGGUAAAGUUCUGUGAUAAAAAUUAAGAUGCAAAUAAAGUCAAAUUUAGGUGCAUAAGAAGGCUACUGGGAAAUCAUUCACAUUUUAUUUCGAACAUUUGACGCAGGGCUGUCCCUGCCAUAAGGCCAGUGAAUCUGGAGCUUUAGGCCACAAAAUAGUUUACAAUUUGAGGCCACAUUUUUUAAAAAUGAUUAUAGUUAGGUUAAAACAUUAAUUUUUUAUCUUUUGGUUCGGUUGGAGUCUUGCAUAUUCAAAGUUAAAUAUGUAUGUAAAAAAAAAGUUAAAUAUGUUGGACUUGUAACGUUUCCACUAUUUUUCUAUUUUGACAUGUGUGUUUCUCUUCUAAUUUGAGUAACUUAUUUGUUAUUCUUUCUAUUUUUUCUUUUUGUUACUAAAAUAAUAAUAGUUAAAGAAAAAAAAAAUAAUAGUUCAAACAAACUAGUGAUUUUAAUUUAUUAAAAUAUCCACUACUAAUCUAAUGUUCAUCUGAAUUUUUAUUUAUACUUUUUAUUUAUAACUAAACUACUAUAUCAUUUUAUAUUUUAAACAAAAAAUAUUAAAUAUAUUUUGGACAAAAAUAUUUUUAGAAAUUAAAUAUAUGUUACCACAUAAAUCUGCUUUAGGCCACAAAAUCUACUGGGACGGCACUGAUCACACGAUCCUCAAGGAACAUGAGCGGGUUCCAGUUCCUGACUUUGUAGUCAAUGUAAGAAUGACUUUAUUAGUUUUGAUCAUCUAUUAAUAAUCUUUGUCGUCUACGCAAUCAUGAUUUUAAUAUAGAAGCCGGAAAACCGGACUGACAUAAACGAUAAAAUAAAAGCGAUGUUAAGGAAAUAGGCGAAUGUAAAGGGCGAAUACAAGAACGAUAAGAAAUCGUAUUCGCAAAGAGACAUGGAGUCGAGAUAUGAUCUCUUUCCUUAACUCAAAAUAUUCGCUCCGUUAGUGAGACGGGACUGUACGAAUAUAGAGUCCCAGGAUACAACCAUGGCAGACGAAUCACGGCUCACUCGUGAUCGCCCUAUCGAACUAUAAANNNNNNNNNNNNNNNNNNNNNNNNNNNNNNNNNNNNNNNNNNNNNNNNNNNNNNNNNNNNNNNNNNNNNNNNNNNNNNNNNNNNNNNNNNNNNNNNNNNNNNNNNNNNNNNNNNNNNNNNNNNNNNNNNNNNNNNNNNNNNNNNNNNNNNNNNNNNNNNNNNNNNNNNNNNNNNNNNNNNNNNNNNNNNNNNNNNNNNNNNNNNNNNNNNNNNNNNNNNNNNNNNNNNNNNNNNNNNNNNNNNNNNNNNNNNNNNNNNNNNNNNNNNNNNNNNNNNNNNNNNNNNNNNNNNNNNNNNNNNNNNNNNNNNNNNNNNNNNNNNNNNNNNNNNNNNNNNNNNNNNNNNNNNNNNNNNNNNNNNNNNNNNNNNNNNNNNNNNNNNNNNNNNNNNNNNNNNNNNNNNNNNNNNNNNNNNNNNNNNNNNNNNNNNNNNNNNNNNNNNNNNNNNNNNNNNNNNNNNNNNNNNNNNNNNNNNNNNNNNNNNNNNNNNNNNNNNNNNNNNNNNNNNNNNNNNNNNNNNNNNNNNNNNNNNNNNNNNNNNNNNNNNNNNNNNNNNNNNNNNNNNNNNNNNNNNNNNNNNNNNNNNNNNNNNNNNNNNNNNNNNNNNNNNNNNNNNNNNNNNNNNNNNNNNNNNNNNNNNNNNNNNNNNNNNNNNNNNNNNNNNNNNNNNNNNNNNNNNNNNNNNNNNNNNNNNNNNNNNNNNNNNNNNNNNNNNNNNNNNNNNNNNNNNNNNNNNNNNNNNNNNNNNNNNNNNNNNNNNNNNNNNNNNNNNNNNNNNNNNNNNNNNNNNNNNNNNNNNNNNNNNNNNNNNNNNNNNNNNNNNNNNNNNNNNNNNNNNNNNNNNNNNNNNNNNNNNNNNNNNNNNNNNNNNNNNNNNNNNNNNNNNNNNNNNNNNNNNNNNNNNNNNNNNNNNNNNNNNNNNNNNNNNNNNNNNNNNNNNNNNNNNNNNNNNNNNNNNNNNNNNNNNNNNNNNNNNNNNNNNNNNNNNNNNNNNNNNNNNNNNNNNNNNNNNNNNNNNNNNNNNNNNNNNNNNNNNNNNNNNNNNNNNNNNNNNNNNNNNNNNNNNNNNNNNNNNNNNNNNNNNNNNNNNNNNNNNNNNNNNNNNNNNNNNNNNNNNNNNNNNNNAGCCUCGUCUCGGCGUCUCAAUAUAUAGAAAAGGAUUCGUCGUAAACGCGACGUAAUAUUACGACGAAGUUACCAGGCCCGCGUUUUUUCAUUUACGACGAAGUUACCAGGCCCGCGUUUUUCGAUUUACGACGAAAUUACUUCGAAACGUCGGUUUACGACGAAUUUACCAGGCCCGCGUUUUUCAAUUUACGACGAAGUUACCAGGCCCGCGUUUUUCCAUUUACAACGAAAUUACGUGGAAUAGAUAAUCAUUUACGACUAGAUUACAACGCUUAACCCUAAACACCGAGAAUGAAAUCCCUAAACCCUAAAGUCACAUAUCAUCUAACAUCAUAUCUCUUCUCUACUACUUUGUGCUCUUUCUCCAACUUAAACUCUAAAACCCUAAAACUCCAAAUAAUUUUUUAAAAACUAAAGAAAUACAUAUUAUAUAAAAAAAACAUUUGUUACACAUACAUUAGGAUGGUAAAAAAAUAAUAUUUCUUUAAACAUACGUUACAAUAGAGAAAUACAACAUUUGUUACAUAUAUUACAUCACUCUAAAUCGUUUUCGUUCUCAUCAAUAUUACAUCACUCUAAAUCGUUUUCGUUCUCAUCACUAUCAUUACAAUCAUCAUCGUCGCUUCUCUCGAACUCGUCUUCACGUGCUUCAUCUGUCGCAUCUUCGGGAAUAUCUUCAUAUUGAAAGUUUUGCGGGUCGAUCAAAAGGAUUUCAUCAGUUGGUUGUUCUGGUACCUCAACUUCAUUGAUAGCGUCUUCUUCUUGCAAGGGCGGUUCUUCUCCAGCGACAAUGCGUCCACGAGGUGUAAUUUUGAUAGCAGCUAACCAGUUUAUCCCGGAAGUUCGAAGCCGAGGAUAAGGAAGGAAGCUUACUUGCUCGGCUUGUGAAGCUAAAAUGAAAGGCUCAAAUUUGUUGUAUCUUCUCCCAAAAUUGACAUCCACAACACCAAAUUUGUUAUACCGAAUCCCUCGGUUCACAACAGGAUCGAACCAUUCACAUUUGAAGAGGACGCAUUUUAGCUUCAAUAACCCCGGAAAUUCCACUUCAAUAAUCUCCUGCAAGAUCCCGUAAAAGUCCGUUUCACCUUUCACACAUAUUCCGUAGUUACUCGUUGCCCGAUGUCUCCCAUACUCGUAUGUGUGAAAGGUAAAUCCUCGUGUGAAAUACAUAGGUGAUGUGGUGACCUUUGCAACUGGACCUUGAACCAAUUCGUGAAACCAUACGGGAUAAUAAGGAUCGUCAUAAUCAACCUGCCAAAAGCAGUUAUUCUUAAUUAAUAUUGAAGUAUCAAAACACUUACUUAAUUAAUCAAUGUAUGAGAUAUAUUACGUACCUGUGAUUUUAACCACUUGACAAAGUGCUUAUCUUUACGUGUGUCCACAUCAGUUGCAGAUAUUCCUGGUAUUGCUUCUUCAACUUGAGAUACAAACAUGCUGCAAAUUAAACAAAUAAUCAAGUCAUACAUAAUUAACUGCAAUUCAUAUAAUUAACAUUCACAAAAAUAUUUACCUUUCAAAGUAACGGGUCACUGCAUCCUCGCAGUUGAGCAGAAUAUAAGUGUGGGCACUAUGUUUAUCCUCUUCACAUGACCACCAUACUUCUUUCGUUUUACCACCAAACCGUGCAAUUUCGCAGAAAAUGUCAGGAACACCAUCAAUUGGAUAUGAUGUCGGUACUCCACCAUCAUCAUAUCUUCUAGGAACUCUUUUCCUCGUACGAACAGUUGGAGCAAAGUAGUAUGAUGUGAAGUUAGAUGUUUCGGCUGUCAAACUUCCCGCAACUAUUGAACCUUCCACCUUUGCAAGAUUUCUUGCUUUCCCCUUCAAAUGAUUCACCUGUCGCUCAUACGGAUACAUCCAUCCGUUGUGAACAGGUACACAAAGCAAUGCUUCAUACGGUAGGUGGACAACUAGAUGCUCCAUGACGUCAAAAAAUGAAGGAGGAAAUAUCUUCUCCAGGUUGCACAAUAUGAUUGGAAUGUUAUGAUGAAGUUGUUCGAUGACUUCUUCCUUGAACGUACGUGUGCUGAGAUCUCUGAAAAAAGCGCCGAUGGCUGUAUAUUGCAAAAGUAAUCAAAUUAAUAACAUUUCAUAACAUAUGUAUAUAUAUUAACGUUUUAUAAUUACCUGCAAGUGCUUCAUGGACAUUUGCUGGAAGGAGCUCGGCAAAAGCAAAUGGAAGUAGUCGUUGCAUAAACACAUGACAAUCAUGACUCUUCAUUCCGGAGAACUUUUGACCUCGUUCAACACAUCUUGACAGAUUUGAAACAUAACCAUCAGGAAACUUAACUUCUGAUGCAACCCAGUCAAACAAGGUUGUUUUGGCUUCUGAUGACAACCGGAAGAUGGGAACAGGAACGUUUCCAUUGCUCUUGAUAUGUAACUCACUUCUUGAGCAAAUAUCAGGUAAGUCCAUCCUUGACUUUUUGUUAUCUUUUGUCUUCCCAGGGACGUUAAGUAAUGUAUUCAUGAUGUUCUCAAAAAAGUUCUUCUCAAUAUGCAUGACAUCCAGAUUGUGGCGUAAGAGAAGAUCCUUCCAAUAGGGUAGCUCCCAAAAUAUACUCUUCUUAUGCCAAUUGUGAGACACACCAUACCCAUCAGGCAUAUUUCCAGGAACAUGCCAAUUUCCUCCAACUUUAACUGUUUCCUGAGCUCCGUAAUAAUCAAUGUCUGCUUCGAUCUGCUGGCCGGUGAGAUAUGGAGGAGGACCGUCUCUGACAAUUUUUUUGUGCCGAAACAAUGUCUUAUUUCUUCUGUACGGAUGGGCAAGUGGAAGAAAGCGACGAUGACAAUCAAACCAACAACUCUUCCUACCAUUCUUCAGUUGAAAAGCAUCCGUCGAUCCAAGACAAUAUGGACAAGAUAAUCUUCCAUGUGUUGUCCAGCCAGACAACAUCCCAUAAGCAGGGAAAUCACUUAUCGUCCACAGCAGAACUGCUCGCAUCGUAAAAUUGUUUUUCAAGGAACAAUCGUACGUCCUCACCCCUUCUGACCACAAUUGCUUUAGCUCUUCUAUCAACGGUUGAAGAAAAACAUCAAGAGACCGUUUUGGAUGCUUCGGCCCAGGGAUUAAUAUGGUCAAAAAUAGAAAUUCUUGUUCCAUGCACAUAUCCGGCGGUAAAUUGUACGGCGUAAGAAUGACUGGCCACAAAGAAUAUUGUCUACCAGACAUUCCAAAUGGACUAAAUCCAUCGGUGCAUAACCCAAGAUAGACAUUCCGAAUAUUUGUAGCAAAAUCUGCGUGUACCUUGUUGAAAUGUUUCCACGCUCUUGCGUCUGAUGGAUGUGCAACCUCACCAUCUCUCUGGACAUGUUCUUCAUGCCACCUCAUCAACGCAGCAGUCCUCUCAGAUUGAUAUAAUCUUUUCAAUCUGUUUGUAAUUGGUAGGUACCACAUCCUUUGGUACGGUACCCUAUUCCUCCCACGGCCUUGCGGUUUGAAUCGUGGUUUUUUGCAGAAUCGACACUCUUCGAACUUGUCAUAUUCUUUCCAGUAGAUCAUGCAGUUGUCGAUGCAAACAUCAAUCAUCUCCGAAGGCAACCCAAGACUAUAAACCAAUUUCUGAAUCUCAUAAUAAGAUUCAGCAGACACGUUGUCUUCUGGCAAAUACGCUUUAAACAACUCCGCCAAUGCAUCCAUGCAAUUCUCAGGUAAAUUAUGAUCCGUUUUAAUAUUCAUCAUCCUAGCUGCUAGAGACAAUUUAGAGAGACCUUCUCUACAACCANNNNNNNNNNNNNNNNNNNNNNNNNNNNNNNNNNNNNNNNNNNNNNNNNNNNNNNNNNNNNNNNNNNNNNNNNNNNNNNNNNNNNNNNNNNNNNUUUUUUCGGAUUUUUUUUUCCGUUUGUGUGUUGUGAGGAAGAGAGUUGUGGGAAAUGACAUAUAUAUAGAGAAAUUUUCGAGUUGGGUAGUUGAAAUAUAACAACGAUUUUACAAGGAAUAUUUUACAUGGUUUUAACAUAUUAUUUACAACGACUUUACGACAAAAUUAGGUAAGUUAAAGCACAUUGAAUACACGUUUUCACCUAAAUAUAAUGGUAACAUGCUUCGUUGUAAUGUCGAUGUAAUGAUUACGACGUAUUUCUCAUUCCACGUACAUUCGUCGUAAACUUACAUGGAGUUUACGACGAAAUCUAUUCGCCGUAAAUUUACAUGGCGUUUACGGCGAAAGUUAGAUUUCUCGUAAUUGCGUUGUAAACACCAUGUAAAUUUACGACGAAAUAUUUUCGUCGUAAAUGUUCGUUGUUAUGGGCACGUUUUCUUGUAGUGACUUAUUUGUUAUUCUUUCUAUUUUUUUUUCUUUUUGUUACUAAAAUAAUAAUAGUUAAAAAAAGAUAAUAAUAGUUCAAACAAACUAGCGAUUUUAAUUUAUUAAAAUAUCCACUACUAAUCUAAUAUUCAUCUGAAUUUUUAUUUAUACUUUUUAUUUAUAACUAAACUACUAUAUCAUUUUUUAUUUUAAACAAAAAAUAUUAAAUAUAUUUUGGACAAAAAAUAUUUUUAGAAAUUAAAUAUAUGUUACCACAUAAAUCUGCUUUAGGCCACAAAGUCUACUGGGACGGUACUGAUUUGACGACACCCUUGAAUCACAAAACCUUCCCACAUACAAUCGGCACAUGGAAUAAUCUGUAGCCUGAAUAAUGUAACAUAUAUCAAAAUAGUAAAGUCCAGUUGAUUUAGUAGAUUCUCCAACAUUCACAUUGUAAUAAACCUCCUUCACUCCUUCCCUGCUCCACAAUAUCCUGAAUCACUAGAGACCUGGUUGUAUCCAGAACCCGUAAACCCGAUCCGAUAAAAAUGUAUCGAAUUCGGUUUUUAUCGGAUCAGGUACAAAUCAAGUAUUUUAAAACCGAAGAACCGAUUGGGACCCGAAUCCGAAAGUACAUCGGGUUGUACCGGUUCUUUGAAGAUUUACUAAGCCCGACCCGAACCCGAUAGAACCCAAAACGGUCUCGAACCAAAUUUUCAUAUAAUCAGAAUAUAGCUGAUUUUGAUAAACCCGAAAAACCGAAACCCGAUUGGACUAAACCGAAACCCGAUUGAGACCCCGAAUGCCCAUGCCUACUAUUUGGUAAUGGAGAUGGGAUCACACGCCGUUUUGUUUAUCAUCUGAUCCAACGACACAGAUUAGUGGACAUUUAGAUUUGUUUGUAAACUGGGUUAUUGAGUUUUCCUUUAUUUGGAGCUAAAUAUUUUAAACAAAAAUAAAAAAAUAAGGGAUAAAAUUCGUAUACUAGUAGAGAUCCCAGGGAUCAUAAGUUUGAUAUCCAUUAGAAAAGAUCUGCUAUAUACUAAGUAAAGUUAAUUUAGGACUCGAUUUAGAGAUGUGGGUCUUCAAAUAUGGAACCUCUAGAAAUUCAGAAAACAAAAAGAAAAGAAGACAUUUCAUCUCAUACAUACAAAAUAAGAGAGAAAACAAUGAGUUGAUGAUGCAGGAAUAUUUCUUUCACUAAAGAUCGAAGGUUACGUGACUGAGGAUUCCAAGAGCAUUCAGCAAUCUUAGUGGUCGUAUAUUAGUUAAUUGAGGUGAACCGAUCAUUCAGCCUAAGGAUAUAUUUCUUCUACAAAUGAUAUAUUCUACGAGGAAUAGGCAACCAUAAACCGAAAACAACUAUGAACCUAAACCAUUUUCAUGCCAAGUUCACACCCCUUUUCCCCCUCACCAAACCACUAUAGUAUGCCUUUCAAUAAACCAAAGAAAAUAAAGACACUUUUACCAACUAUGAAUCAUACAACCAUUGGAUAAAAUAGCAAGCCUUCCCAACAUCAAAAACACGAGCCAUAACCUAAAGAGUAAGACAUCAGCUCAAGAACACGUCAUCAACAUAACAUUAACACUAUCUCCCAAGAAUAGUGAUUAUCAUCUUCCAGCUAACUCACAUUCAAUGUAGAUAUCACAAUUAUUCAGAACACAUGUAACAACUACCAUGAAAAAAGAGUCUGAAUCAACUUCUCUCCCUAGCUAAUUGGCUCCCGACUUGGAGCUCCGAAACCCUUUCUUAAGCUCAGUAACUCUCUUCAUACAAGCUGCCUUGGACUUCCCAGGCACUGCAGCUGCAACCUUCUCCCAUCUCAUGGCUGCCUCUUUCGGAAAAGCUUUAAGAGCAUUGAGCAGUGCAAUGUCUUCUCCAUUACUCCAAGUCUCGUCAUCUCCUCCAUUCUUCCCAGCGUCUUCUUCUUCUUCACCCAAUCUCGGAUCCGAAGAAGCUUUCCUCUUCUUCAGAAACUGAGCGUAGUCGUCACUCUCGUAGACUUUCUUCUCCCCAAUCUCUUUCGCCUUCUUGAUCACAUUCUCCGUCUUGUACUUCCCUCCAAACGCAGCCGCCACCGCUUCCCACCGCCCAGGCUUCCCCGCCGGAUGCUUUACCAGCUGCUUCUUCAGAACCUCGAUCUCUUCAUCACUCCACUCCUUGGUUUCCUUCACAGAUCCAUGAAUCUCACUCCGAUCCACUUUUACUGGAGGUGGAUUUUCCGGCGGUUUAUCGUUUUUCAUCACUUUAUUAGAUCGCUUGUUCCUCCUCGAUUCGCGUUCGUUAUCCGUCGAGUGUUCCUCGUUGAGCUGCUCCGGCUCCAGGAUCUGACCGUAACCGACGCGGAUUUUGCCACCGGUGAGAGAAGGAGGCGCGAAAGGACCGACGAGGAAGGAGAUUGCGAGCCAUAAGAGAAGCGACUGGGUAGGCUCGGAUUCGAAGUAGAAGAAGGAGAGUGAUAGAGUGAGAAGGGAGAUAACGACGGAGAUUGAGAUGAAGAUCUUGUUAGGGGUUUUAUGAUCUUCCUCCUCCUUCGUCUUGCGAGAAGAGGAAGGACGAGAUUGGAAGACGAAUCUUGGCUUGUCUUCGUCGUAAAACUCCAUUGCUCUUCUCCCGAUCUGUCCGUACUCUUCUGUGUAGAAGAAGUGAAAUAAAUCGAAAACUAACAAUGCUAGAAAUUAGUAUUGGCCCUUUUUAUCUUUGGGCUUUCGUAUACUGUAAAGCCCAUAUAGUUGGACGAAGUUGAUUUAUAAAAUGUACGACGUUGAAGGCUCCCUUAUUAUGUGAUAACUCAGUUUAAUGUUUAUCACGUGUAAACAACUUGUUGGGAUGGAAAGCAAAGCAGAGAGAAUAACAAAAGGAUAAAGGUUUGGAGAAGGCGGUCAUAAAAAAAUUCAAAAUCUUACGGUUCAAAUUAGUGAUGACGUCAUCACCAAUUAAAUCAACGGUUUAUAUGUAAUUUGUUAAUGUAGGGUCGAGAUGAACACGACCAUAAUAUUGCUGACUAACGAUUACAAUCCUUUUUUUUUUCCGACGAACGAUACUUAACGAUAAUAAUAUUCCUUUAUCGCGAGAGAUAGAGCGGUGAUAUAUAUAUUCCAAAAGUAGGUUUCGUUUUGUUUGUUAUUAGUAAGUAUCACGAGAGAACCUCACAAAAAUACGCGGCAAGUAGAUAGAGAGAGAGAGAGAGCGGUGGAGUUUGGGAAGGAGAAGCUUUUUGGAUAAAGUCUUUUUCCCCGUCGUCGGUGACGGAGCUUAUGCCUAUUGGCCCCUUGACCUUGAGGUUAAUCAAAGAUCUUGACGAAUUGUUUCUAAAUUGAUUUUUAGGGUUACGAUUCUGUGGGAUAUACUCUGUUCUUCAUUGAUUGCAGUUAUGGUUUCGUUAUUGCGUUUCCUGAUAUUCGUAGGAGUCUAUUGGAAUUGGAUUUCAUUUGCUAUUAAAUCGUUAUUGUUUCUAUUCCAUGUAGCUUCUGAUAUUGAUUCUUCCUACUGCUGUUUGUGUUCAUUAUCAGGUUACAUUAAGCUUUCAUUUGCAGUAGAUUUGCUUCUUUUGAGACAUGGAACUAGAUCACAUCUGCUCUGGGUGCUACCACUUUCGGGUUUUCUCACUGCAAGAAGCACUCGAUUUGCGGUUUCUUGCGCGUUCAGACUUCCUUGUUGGCUCUUUCGUCAUCUGCACUUAAUGUUCUGCCCUUCUUCCGCCAUCUUCAUCGAAGGUGCGAGUCAGGUAUGUUUUUUUUUUUUCUUUUGUAAAUUGAAUAAUAGUCGGUUUAUAUUUAAAGACUUUUUUGCAAUAUUAGUAGUUUAGUAAAAAGAAAUUUAGAGAGAAGGUAAAAAACUGCUAUGAAGAAUCUAGGAAAUCUCAAAAAGGAAUACUAUAUGAUAGAGUUAAAGGAUAUCAUAUACUCCAAACUUACAUCUUAUAUCACUGCUGAAUUUCCCCAUAUUUGUUGAAACAAGAUUGUUUGUGUGGCACCUUUGUUUUGUGCAGGGUUGAUGUCUGCAAGUUAUCAUUCCGUCGAAUAGGCCUAGAGUCUCUCAUCUAAACCUGGUCCCUAGAGUCAAAAAAAGUCCUGUUAGUCCCUAUUCCAUAUCUGGUUCUUGUAGAAGACUGAACAAGGAUGUACCAGUUUCUUUUCAAGUUUUGACAUGUCGUAGCUUUGAUAGUACUGUCUUUUGAGUCUCCGAACCCCUUGAGUGAAUUGUUCUCAACAUUCCCACUUGUUGGUUCGUUCUUCAUUGUGUCUUUCAGUUCUCAACAUGUUUUGUCUUCUUCUCUUGGUGUCUUUCUUUUGCCUUGAUGGUAAACCAAUUGGUUUUCAUAAGUAAAUAACGGCCAGCCUACCCUGCGGGAGAAUCUUCGAGUUUCGCUGGCAUACGAACAAGUGGAAGAUUGAAGUUAUAGAAACAUUUCAGUUCUCUAGAGACAAAAACCAAAGGAGAUACUUUACUGUAGGGGAGAUGGAGAGGUAGGCUUGAUUUCUAGCAUGUUUUUCUCUUAUCUUUGGCUUCAGACCCCUUGAUUUAUAUAUUUCCUGUUUGCUUUUCGAUAUCUUAUGCAAACAUAGGUAUAAUUUAAUCAAAGAAGUUGGUGAUGGAACUUUUGGGAAUGUUUGGCGAGCUGUCAAUAAACUGACGGGUGAAGUUGUAAGUUUUUUCCCCAAAGAUAUAAGGCUUCUAUACUAUUUGUACUUGGUUUUAUGGUACUAAAGUUUUCCAUGGACAGGUUGCGAUUAAAAAGAUGAAGAAGAAGUAUUACUCUUGGGAAGAAUGUAUUAAUCUGAGAGAAGUGAAGGUAUUGUUUCUUCUUCACUGAAAAUGUUCCCAUUUCUCAGUCUUUCUUCUUGUAUGUUUGCUAAUUCCUCUCUUUUCUCAUAUCAGUCGCUUAGCAGAAUGAACCAUCCAAACAUUGUGAAGCUGAAGGAAGUCAUCCGGGAAAAUGAUAUUCUUUACUUUGUUUUCGAGUACAUGGUAUGCUUUUGCUACUUUUUGUUUGAUCUGUUUGCUAUAGCUUUUUUAUUCUCCAUUACCUUAAACAUUCUUUCCUUUCUUUCUCGUUCAGGAGUGCAAUCUUUACCAGCUUAUGAAGGAUCGCCCUAAGCUCUUUGCAGAAUCUGAUAUCCGAAAUUGGUGCUUUCAAGUCUUUCAAGGUCUUUGUUACAUGCAUCAGCGUGGAUACUUCCACCGAGAUCUUAAGCCAGGUAAUUGAUAGCCUUGAGUUACCAAUAAACACCACCACAUAGUUCGACUUUUUCAAAUCAAAAUUUCCAAGUUUUUCUACCGCAGUCGUAGUUCAAUACAUUGUCAAUGCAACAUGUGUAUUUUUUUCCUGAUGCAGAGAAUCUAUUAGUCUCUAAAGAUGUUAUAAAGAUUGCUGAUCUUGGCCUGGCCCGGGAGAUUAACUCAAGUCCACCUUAUACAGAGUAUGUCUCUACACGCUGGUGAGAUUCACUUCCUUGCUCUGUUGAAAUGCUUUUCUAAGUAAAUCAAUCUGUUUGUAGUUCAAUGAUAUAUAUGUGCUAAAAAGUUUGUGUUUCUAACAGGUAUAGGGCACCUGAAGUACUGCUACGGUCAUAUGUAUACACGUCAAAAGUUGGUUAGUGUUCCCAAUAUAUCAAUAAAAGAAGUCUUUCUACAUUGUAUUGGUCCAUUUGUUAACAAUGUGUACUUUUUUUGUGUUACAGAUAUGUGGGCUAUGGGCGCUAUUCUGGCUGAGCUGUUGUCUCUUCGCCCUCUUUUUCCUGGAGCUAGGUAUUUGGCAUUACAGUUUUCCUUAAUAAAACAAUGCUGCGGAUGUGAUGUUAAGCUACCAAAACCUCUUUUUUUAUGUAUGCAGUGAAGCAGAUGAGAUAUAUAAAAUCUGCAGUGUGAUAGGCAGCCCAACUGAAGAGACAUGGUUGAAGGGGCUUAACCUUGCUAGCGUUAUCAAUUACCAAUUCCCUCAGGUAUAUUCUUGUUGAAAUUUUCAAUGUUGCUAGAGAAAAAAGAGACACUUAUUUUUUUAAUCUUUCGAUACUAGUAAGGAUCUAUUUGUUAUCUUCCAGCUUCCUGGUGUACACCUUUCAAACUUGAUGCCGUAUGCUAGUGCAGAGGCGGUUAACCUUGUUGAGCGCCUCUGCUCGUGGGAUCCCAGCAAUAGGCCGACGGCUGCAGAGGCUUUGCAGCAUCCGUUCUUCCAUAGUUGUUACUAUGUUCCACCAUCUCUCCGUUCCAAACAGUCUGUUGGACAGAGAGGGCCUCUUGAGCAUCAGCAGCAAUCCCUCAAGACCAAUAAUAAGGCGCCAUUCAACAGUUAUGCUACUUCAAAGGUGAACGCUCCUCCAUUUGGUGCUUGUCAGACCCAGCGGAAGCUGGAGAUGUCUAAUAAGAUUAACCAGGACACAACAUGGAACAAGAAAGCUGUCGGAAGUUAUCAUGUCAGAGAUGCUAGGUAUAUACCACCGCCUGGAAGGAAGAGUCCUUGUAAGUAACAAAAAUCACAUCAAAAUUUUGUUCUUUUGUUGGCAUAGUUUGAUUACUCAUCUGAAGGGGAAAUCAAAUGGUGCACAUUUGCAGCAUCGAUGAACAAGAAUUGGGUCUUUCCUCGUGGGCCAUCAGAGACUGCAGUGGCAAAUGCAGCGGUGGUUGGUGGAAGAUGGAGGCCGGCGAUGAAGGCAGGGUGGGUGGGAGAAAGUGGUGACAUGUUCCUCAGACCUAUACAGCCUCCAAAUCCCUACUCUAGGAGAAUCGCUGGUUAAAACCGAAAAGAUGACUCACUCUUUUAAGUUAUCAUCAUCUUCUACUACCCGAGGGUCCAUGAUCAUUUCAAGACACAGCUAUGUUUGAUUUCCUUUUCUAAAAACUCUCUUGCUUGUGCAUGGAGCUUCUUCUUGAGCCUGUACUGGUUUUAAUGUUUCGGUCAUGGUUUUGCUCUGUAUAUUUUCUUUUCUUUUCGCAACAAAGCUCACAGACGUUGGACCAAACCCUGUUUUCAUCAACUUCGAUGGACAGUAAAUGUAAUCUCGACUCGGCCAUGUAUAUAAACGUUUUGCAACAUGUGACUUGAAUGAUAUGUGGCAAACGGUGCAACAGACGAGAAAAAUUUCCAUCACAAGCGGCUGGGGAGCUCAUCAGUCUCGUGCCUAUUAUGAGGCAUCUUGAAGUGAUUUGUUAGUCCAAAGUGCGCCACUAAUUGAGCUCACCGCCUCUGCUGGGUUGCUCCACGUGUGCGGUAGGAGCACAAUGACCUCCUCUAUGUGCCUCCUUCGGCAGAACUUGCCAGUUUCAGCCAGUGUGUCUCUGAAUAUGAUCUUUCCCUAUUCCAGCAACCUCCAACACCAGACCAGGUUGCAUGCAAGAUCAUGAGGUACAUCAUGUAGUCUGAGAUGUUUGGAUCAUUUUAACGUUUGUGUCAUCACUCUCUUGGAAUCUGAGACGGAAAACGGAUAGAUAGAUUCCCGAACUAGAAAUCCUACUUGCAGAUUCGAAGAAAGGGGAUACACAGACCUAGAAGAUGACCACUGAAGAAGAAGGAUCAUCUCCAAAGACUGAGCUCGAUAUGCUAAGUUCUGUAUGAACUUGGGCACGAUAGAUUCAGAGAGAGUUUGUGAUUGAGGAAUGUUAUUAUUAUUGAUAAACUAGAUAUGCCGUGAGGCUUACAUACAUAAGAAAACCAACUACUAGAUAAAGCUAAAUCAAAUAGGAAUCCUAAUGUGAACGUAAAUCAUAAAACCAAUGAUACCACCAAAACAGUUAUGGAGUCGUUAGUGGUGAUGUGUCCUGUCACAAUACUCCCGCUUCCAUAGCAUACUUGGCCUCAAGUAUGAAAAUCAGGGUAUCCCUUCCGCCGAACUAAUAUACCUUUGUCACUGCUCUGUUUUGGCGACUUACCAUCUUUUUCUCAAGCAUCCUCUAUGGUUCUUUAUCUUUGCAGAAAUAUUGAGGCAAAAUCGAAUGUGAUGGAGGUGGAUUUGGACAGAGCUUUAACUGAUUCUCAGAAAAGACAUUAUGAGUGUGGUAACAAACAGUGUCAAGGUUGAAGGUUUGCUGUGUCUCUAGCGUACUGUCCAGUUCCCAAAGAUGAAGUAAAGCAAUCUGAGGUCCUUGUAACAUGAGUUUGUUGAGACUGUUUCCUGUGAUUUCCUUGGGACCGUUUGGUGAACAUGUUUCCUGUGAUUUCUGCAACCCAAGGGCAAGGUUCGUAUUUCAGAACUAAACAUGUAUCCCUGCAUCUUCCAAGAAAACACACUACAUUUGUACUUAGUAAUCAGUUCUCUACUUGCUGCGACGACUAGUGUUGGUUUGGUUGGUAUCAAAGUGCACCCUAAGCUUUUAGCGAUCUGUACAUCGAGAAAGUUAUGAGUGCUGCCAGAGUCGAGUAAGAUAUGCAACUUCAAUUUUACAGUUAAAUAUCGGGGUUCCAUUUAAGGCGUGGACAGAGAUAAUGGCGACCUUGUUGUCUUCAUCGAGAGUUGUUUCACGUAUUUGUUCUUCCAGCGCAAUUUCUUCGUCAAACUCUGUAUCAGCUUCCAAGAACAAUAACUCAGCACGCCGAUGCUUAAGUUGAUGACCUGGUGUAAACGGUUCCUCACAAAACGUGCAUAAACCCUUACUGCAUCUCUUCUAGGUUUAUUGUUUUGAUUUCCAACAGCGUUGGUGUUGAGGUGCUGAAUUGGUUCUUGUUGGGUUGUGAGAAAUUUGAUCUUGAUGAGUUGAAGGUGGGAGGAAGUGUUCUAACCGGAAGUGUGUUGAAGAGAUAGUUCAUGGAGCUUUGCGAUCCUUGUAGCUUCUGGAACGGUUGUGACGUUUGAAUUGACGUACAUGAAGAGCCAGAUGUUGGUUCAUGUUUGUCAAGAAGAUACUCAGAGCAUGGCCCGGAGCAAGCGUAAUUCUGUUCACAGCACAAUCGAGCUUCUCUAGAUAGAUUUCAAUGGUGCCGUUACCUUGCUUUAAGCUGACUAAUUCGGAUAGAGGGUCAUCAUAUAGCUCUCCAAUGCGUGCUAAUACAGCUGCAACAUAUUCCGGCCAGAGUGGAAAGAUGUUGUAGUGAUUAGCGAUGUAAGAGUGGUGCCACUGUAAGGCUUUGCAUGUCAUGUGAAGAGAAGCAAUGUGGACCUUCAGUUCAGGCAGUGUGCUGUCUAUGGAGAAUAAUUGUUCGCAAUGAUAUAUCCAUUCUCUAAGAACUGACCCAUUGAACAUCGGAAUCCAAUUUUAGUCAAUCUUGAAGCUAGUCCAUUAGGUAGAGUUGGGUUGGGAUUAUGAUCAGUAUCAGGAUUGUGUUGCAAUGUUUUUGUCGUGCUGCCAUCCAAAGUUUUCUGGCAGUUCUUCUUGUCGGGUCAUUCCAGAGUUGGAAAUAACAGCAGUUGAGUUGUCUUGACUUGUGCCUUGUUAGUUAGUCGAAGGUGGUGGGGUGUUGGCGAAGUAUUUUUCCAUCAUGUUUCUGAGUUCAGAGAUUUCUCCGCUUAGUUCCUUGCGGAUUGCCUCUGUUUGCUGGUUUUGUGACAAAAGAAGUUCCUCGAUUUGCUUGUUCAUGUCGCUUAGAGCGGUAGCCUGACGGGUUUCGAUUCCUUGACUGGUCAUGAGGUAGUCGAUUGCUCUGAUACCACUGAGACGGGAAACGGAUAGAUAGAUUCCCCAACUAGAAAUCCUACUUGCGGAUUCGAAGAAAGGGGGAUACACAAACCUACAAACCUAGAAGAUGACCAAUUGACCUCUGAAGAAGAAGGACUGAGCUCGAUAUGCUAAGUUCUGUAUGAACUUGAGCACGAGAUAGAUUCAGAGAGAGUUUGUGAUUAAGGAAUAUUAUUAUUAUUGAUAAGUGUUAUGAAAGUCAGAGAACACAGCGCCGCAUAAGUUGAAAUUAUAAAUGAUGUGGGGCCCACUGCACUAUUUGCACAGUAGAUUUUUUUCUUUAUAUAUACGAUCAAGUUCGAUCGUUUCAAAUACACACUUCAAUCUUCCCGUCUCUCUCAGAUAAACACUUUCUUUCAGUGUUAUAAUUUUCUACGGGUAUAAAAUUUUGCCCUUAUAUAAAUUCCUGCGAUACAAAUAAAUUCCAGUUCUUUUUAUAACACGUUAUCAGCACGAUCACUCUGCGAUUCGGUAAAAUUUAUUUGUAUCAUUUAUACCCUGUUAUAAUGGUCGGUAUACCGCCUCUACUAUUAUUUAUAUCAUGUUAUAAUGGCCGGAAUACCGCCUAUAUUAUUUACUAGUAAUUUAAUUUAUUUAUUGGUCGGCCGAGCCGCCUUAUAUCCUGUUUAUUAUUUAUUGGUCGGCCGAGCCGCCUUAUAUCCUGUUUAUUAUUUAUUGGUCGGCUGAGCCGCCUUAUAUUCUGUUUAUUAUUAAUUGGUCGGCCGAGCCGCCGUAUAAUUUAUUUAUUAUUCUGCAUUGAUCGGCUGAGCCGUCGCAUGAUUUGUUGUCAUAUAACAUAAAUAUUUCAUUGUCAUAAUUUUUCACUUUUAUGAAAUUUUAUAGAUUUGAUUGACCGUUUAAUACGAUAUUUUCAGACUAAUUUUUGGUGCACUCGAUUUAACCCCAACGGUCACAAAGAAAAUUUUUCAAAAAUUUCCCCUUUCUCCAACGGUCAUGAACAGUAAUUUUCAUCUAUAAAUACAACUCAUUUUCACUCCAUUUCAUCAUCCAAAACAUUUCAUCUUCUCUCAAAAAUUUCAAAUCGCUCUCCUCCGAUUUUUCAUUUCAAGAAAGAUGAUUCGCGCACUUUUGUUUUUAUGUGCCAUUUUUAUUUGUGUUUCUAUUUAUGGUUUAUUCGUUGGAGAAUUUACUCCGAGUGAAUUUAAGAUGAAUAUCGGUUUAAUUUUCUUUACAUCGCUUCUCCUUGUAAUUGCUUGUAUGAUUAAUGUAAACGGUUUUUAAAUUAUGAAGUUCUAAUAAAAUUAUUAUUUUGUGUUUUAGAAAUACAAAUGGCAAACAUCGAGAAACUCCAGUUCCCGGCUCUGAAAGUAACCGGCGAAAACUAUGUCAGAUGGGUCACAAAUGUGAAACCCUAUCUUGUAAUAAAAAAGAUAACCGAAGCGAUAAAAGUCGGUAACAAAUCGCCACCCGAGCAUAUAGCCGAAGCGAUAAUCUUCCUGAAGAAGCAUUUAGAUGAGAAUCUAACUCACGACUAUGGAGACGUUGAGGACCCAGCCGUACUAUGGCAAGCCUUGAAAGACAGAUUCGAUAAUCAAAAGGAAAUCAAUCUCCCUCACGCUCUUGAAGAGUGGAAAACCCUGAGGUUUCAGGAUUUCCAAAGGGUUAGAGAUUACAAUUCCACUAUCUUGAGGAUAGUUGCACAAUUAAAAUAUUGUGGUAACCCUGUCACCGAAGCAGAAAUGCUUGACAAGACAUACAAUACUUUCCACAAAGAACACAACGUCUUAUCCCGAAUUUACAGAAAAUGUGGGUACACCAAAUUUUCUGAAUUGAUGGUAACACUCAUGUUGGCUGAAAAGAACGAUGAGUUACUAAUCAAAAACCAUAAUUCCCGACCUACGGGAGCCAAGGCAUUUCCCGAAGUGAAUGCUACGGCGGUAGAAUAUUCGGGAAGGAGAAACCAGACCAACCGAGGUCGUGGUCGGCGUUUCAACAACAAACGUGGAAAGCCUUACUAUCCUAAAAGUAUUAGAUCUAACAAAUGGGUUAGAUCUGAACAACCUCCUAAAGGCAAAGAAACCGAAGAGGAUACCACAAAGAAAAGUGAGACUGUAUGUUACAGAUGUGGAUGUAAAGGACAUUGGUCCCGUACCUGUCGUACUCCCCCACAUUUGUGCAAGUUAUAUCAAGAGUCCAUAAAAGGAAAGGCUAAAGAGGUGAACCUCACGGAAAAUGUUGAAGGGACCUCAUACCUUGAAUCCUCCGACUUCGCUAAUGAGCUGGACUAGAUUACUCCUGAAGAGAAUCGAAAUGCCUAUGAUAAGAGUAUUGAAUAGUUUUCAGUAUUACCAUGUAUAAUUAUUAUAUUUCAUGUUUUAAACAAAUAAUGAUGUUUUUAACAUCAUCUUAUUGUAUAAUUAUUAUGUGUUUCCUUAUAUGAAUGAAUUUUAUGUUUUUCUUUUAUUUAUAUUUAUGACAAUUUCAGAAAUGGAUCAGAAUGCUAAUGAAGCAAAAUCCAAGAAACGGAUUCGUGAAAUAUGCAUACCAGAUAGUGGAACAACGCACACUAUUCUGAGACAAAAGAGAUAUUUCUCUGAUAUAAAACCGACAAGAAUUGUCGUCAAUACAAUAUCAGGUCCUGCAGACGUGAUUGAAGGAACUGGUAAAGCAAACUUUACUUUACCGAAUGGAACAAAAUUUUCCAUAAAUAAUGCUCUAUAUUCUCCAAGUUCUAAAAGGAAUUUGUUGAGUUUUAAAGACAUAUAUCUUCACGGAUAUGAUACUCAGUCUGCAACUGAGGAUGGAAAGAAAUACAUGUAUGUAACUUCUGAGAAAUGUGGCAGAAAACACAUAUUGGAAAAGUUUCCAGAGCUUCCUUCGGGGUUACAUCAUACUUAUAUCGAUGAGAUCGAAUCAAAUCUUGUAGUAGAACGGAACCCAGAAGAGUUCACGUUAUGGCAUGAUCGCCUUGGCCACCCAGGAACUACAAUGAUGCGUAAAAUCAUAGAAAGUUCACAUGGUCAUCCACUGAAAAUCCAGGAGAUUUCUCAAGGGAAUAAAAUGACAUGUGUUGCAUGUUCUCUAGGAAAAUUGAUCGUAAGGCCAUCGCCAACCAAAAUCGAUAAAGAAUCACCAAAGUUCCUUGAAAGAAUUCAAGGCGAUAUAUGUGGACCUAUACACCCACCUUGUGGACCAUUCCACUAUUUUAUGGUAUUAAUUGACGCAUCCAGUAGAUGGUCACACGUUUGUCUAUUAUCAUCUCGAAAUGUGGCAUUUGCGAGAUUUCUAACUCAGAUAAUCAAACUGCGAGCACAGUUUCCUGAUUAUACUAUUAAAAGAGUUAGACUAGACAACGCUGGUGAAUUCACAUCCCAAGCAUUCAAUGACUAUUGUAUGGUAAUGGGAAUUGAAGUUGAACAUUCGGUUGCUCAUGUUCAUACGCAAAAUGGUUUGGCUGAAUCUUUAAUUAAGCGUCUGCAAUUGAUUGCAAGACCAUUGAUCAUGAGAUCAAAACUUCCAACCUCUGUAUGGGGACAUGCCAUUUUGCAUGCAGAAGCACUCAUUCGGAUCAGACCGAGUGCAUACCAUAAGUAUUCCCCACUACAGUUAGCGUUUGGUCGAGAACCAAACAUUUCCCACUUUAGAAUCUUUGGUUGUGCGGUAUAUGUGCCUGUAGCACCACCACAACGAACAAAGAUGGGACCACAAAGAAGGUUGGGAAUAUAUGUUGGUUGUGAUUCUCCAUCAAUUAUAAGAUACCUAGAACCACAGACUGGUGACGUCUUUACAGCACGUUUUGCUGAUUGUCAUUUUGACGAAAAUGUAUUCCCAGUUCUAGGGGGAGAAAACAAAAAUGUUGGAAGUGAUAUAAAAUGGAGUGUACCAUCAUUGUUAUAUCUUGAUCCUCCUACUAAAGAGUCAGAACUAGAAGUUCGACGAAUUAUGCAUUUACAGAGUAUAGCUAACCAGCUACCUGAUGCAUUUGUAGAUACCAAGACGGUAACUAAAUCUCAUAUACCAGCUGCAAAUGCUCCUGCUCGUAUCAAAAUGCCAAAUGAACAAGAAAAGGAGGAUGACACACGAGAGCCAAAAACACGCCUGAAGCGUGGUAGACCUGUUGGUUCUAAGGAUAAGAAUCCUAGGAAACAGAAGAAAGCUGAAAUAUAUGAUGCACCCAAAAUAGCAGAAAAUAUUUUGGAAGAAAUAAAUGAUAAGGAUUCUGAUGAAUCAGAGCAUCAUGAAUCAGAGCAUCAUGAAUCGAAAGAUAAUCAUGAGAUUUCUAUUAAUUACAUCCAUAAUAAAAGGAUAUGGAAUAGAAAUGAACAAAAUGACCUUGAUGAUGCUUUCUCAUAUAUUGUGUCAAGUGAAAUAAAUGAAGAAAUCGAUGAUCCAGAACCAAAAUCUGUCUAUGAAUGUCAAAAGAGACAUGAUUGGGAACAAUGGAAAAAUGCAAUACAAGCUGAACUUGAUUCGCUUAAUAAACGAAAAGUAUUUGGAUCUAUUGUGCUCACACCUGCAGAUGUGAGACCAGUUGGGUACAAAUGGGUUUUCGUUCGAAAGCGAAAUGAGAAAAAUGAGAUUACGAGAUACAAAGCUCGUCUAGUGGCUCAAGGUUUUUCUCAAAGACCUGGAAUCGAUUAUGAAGAAACGUAUUCUCCAGUUAUGGAUGCCAUUACAUUUAGAUUCCUGAUGAGUCUAGCAGCUGAUAAAAAUCUAGAGAUGCGUCUCAUGGAUGUUGUUACAGCUUAUCUAUAUGGAUCAUUAGAUACUGAUAUCUACAUGAAAGUUCCUGAUGGAUUUAAAAUGCCAGAAGCAUUAAGUUCCAAACCUAAAGAGUUAUGUGCAAUAAAAUUGCAAAGAUCAUUAUAUGGGUUAAAGCAAUCUGGACGUAUGUGGUAUAAUCGUCUCAGUGAUCAUUUAACAAAAGAAGGAUAUGUGAAUGAUCCUAUAUGCCCAUGUGUUUUCAUCAAGAAAACAAUAUCCGGAUUUGUAAUAAUCGCGGUAUAUGUUGAUGAUCUUAACAUUAUCGGAACUCAAAAGGAAAUACAAAAGGCAUCAGACUAUCUCAAAGGAGAAUUUGAGAUGAAAGAUCUUGGACAGACACAGUAUUGUCUUGGCCUACAAAUAGAACAUUCACAAAAUGGUAUAUUUGUGCAUCAAUCCACAUACACUAAAAGAGUGUUGAAACGAUUUAACAUGGAUAAAUCAACUCCUCUUAGCACCCCGAUGGUCGUUAGGUCACUUAAUAUUGAAAGUGAUCCAUUUCGACCACCUGAGGAGAAAGAAGAGAUACUUGGUCCGGAAGUACCAUAUCUAAGUGCAAUUGGAGCGCUGAUGUACCUUGCAAAUUGUACACGGCCUGAUAUAUCAUUUGCUGUGAAUCUUUUGGCAAGAUUCAGCUCAUCUCCAACCCGAAGACAUUGGAAUGGGAUCAAACAUGUUUUUCGUUACCUCCAAGGGACCAUUGAUUUAGGCUUAUUUUAUCCUAAAAGUUCAAAAGGUCAAAUGGUUGGUUUUGCAGAUGCAGGAUAUCUUUCAGAUCCACACAAAGCCCGAUCGCAAACAGGAUACGUUUUUACGAUCGGAGGCACUGCUAUAUCUUGGCGUUCCCAGAAACAAACGCUCGUGGCUACUUCUUCAAAUCAUGCUGAGAUCAUUGCACUCCAUGAAGCAAGUAGAGAAUGUGUAUGGCUGAGAUCAAUGAGCCGACACAUCUGUUCAAGCAGCGGGAUUGGCGAAAAUACGGAGCCAACUAUUUUAUAUGAAGAUAAUGCAGCAUGUGUUGCUCAAACAAAGGACGGAUAUAUCAAAAGCGAUAGAACGAAGCAUAUUCAUCCGAAGUUCUUCUCAUACACUCAAGAGCUCGUGAAGAAGAAAGAGAUUGAAGUAAGAUAUGUCCAAUCAUGCGAAAAUGCAGCUGACCUCUUCACAAAAUCACUCCCUACCUCGGUAUUCAGAAAACACAUCCAUAACAUUGGAAUGCGCCAUCAGAAGGAUCUAUGAUUGUUCAUUCGAGGGGGAGCUUACGUAGUUGUACUCUUUUUACCUUACUAUGGUUUUUUCCAUUGGGUUUUCCUGGAAAGGUUUUUAACGAGGCAACAAAGACGUUAAGCAAGAGCGGAUAGUGACACCGGCCCCCAAGGGGGAGUGUUACGAAAGUCAAAAAUAGGAGGAGGAGCCGUUUUCGUUGAAAAUAUAAAAGAUGUGGGGUCCGCUGCACUAUUUGCACAGGAAAUUUCUUUUCUAUAUAUAUGAUCGAUUUCGAUCAUUUGAAAAUGCAUCAUUCACUCUUCUCUUCCCUCUGUAAUAAUCUUUCUAUCAGUGUUAUAAAUUCUACGGGUAUAAAUUUUGCCCUUAUUUAAAUUCUCGCGAUACAAUAAAAUUCCAGUUCUUUUCAUAACAAGUUCAAUAAUGACAUACAAUUAUACAAAUUUGUUAACGGUUUUCAUUCAUGACUCACAGGUGCAAGUUACAUGGUUAUCACUGCAUAUUUCAUUGACGAAUCAUGGCAACUGAAGAAGUUAAUCAUUGGAUUCAAGUAUGUCAUGGAUCACAAAGGUCAGACCAUAUGCUACUGUUCUUUUAGACGGUUUAGCAGACUGGGGAAUUGAGAAAAUGUUCUGCAUCACAUUAGAUAAUGCAACUGCUAAUACUUCUGCUAUUAGGAGGUUCCAUAGUGAGUUUAGGUCAAUUUCUCCUGAUGCUUUGGUCUUAGAUGGGAACCUUUUGCACAUGAGGUGUUCUGCUCAUAUUAUCAACUUGAUUGCUAAGGAGGGGUUGAAUGAUUUAGGCGAGAGUGUCUUGGCUAUCCGUAAUGCUGUUCAGUAUGUUCGAUCUUCUACCAGUCGGUUGAAUGCAUUUGAUCAAAGAGUCCUGACUGGUAAGAUGACUCGUGGUAGCUUGCCCCUAGACAUAAAUACUAGGUGGAAUUCAACUUUUCUCAUCUUAUCUAGAGCAAUGCAGUUUAAGAUAGCAUUUGAUAGGAUGGAAGCUGAAGAUAGGUUGUAUAAUGACUACUUUUUAGAAGUAGAAAACGGGUCUAAGAGGUGUGGACCACCUGCUGCUAGCGAUUGGAGUGCUGUUGAGAAGCUAAUUCGAUUUUUGAUCAUCUUUUACAACAGCACUCUGGUUGUUUCAGCCUCAUCUAAGGUCAAUGCAUUCAAAUGCUAUGGUGAGAUUGUGACAAUCGAGAGAAAUCUCAAUCUUUUAGCUAGUAGCUUAGACUCUGAGUUGAAGGUGAAAGCAUCUGAAAUGUUGAAGAAGUUCUUGAAGUAUUGGGAUGGCAUCAAGGGUGUCAACAAAAUGGUGAUCCUAGCGAAAAUCUUUGAUCCUAGGAAUAAGAUGCAUUUUGCUAAGCUUUGUUUUGAGAAACUGUAUGGGAAAGACGGCUUCGAGGCCAAGGAAAUGCUAAAGUUAGUGACUGAUCUUCUCACAUGCAUGUUCAAUGAGUACAACAUGCGUUUCAGAGGGGCUUCUGGACAAGCAUCACAGUCGCAGGUGGCUUCUAAUGUCCCUGGUUCAGAGUCUCAGGAACAAGCAACAGACAGAAUGGAACUGGUAGUUGACGAUUUUGGCUAUGAAAGAAUGGAUGUUGUGUACAAGGAUCUUGUUGCUGCAAAAGGUGAAGAUAUAAGGGAUGAGCUGGAAGUUUACUUGAAGAAAGCUGUAGAGAAUCCUAAGAUCUUAAUGGGACUCGAUUUUGACAUUCUGUCACGGUGGAAGGUGUACAAAAUCAAGUACCCGGUUCUUGCAGAAAUGGCUAGAGAUCUCUUUGCUAUGCAAGUAUCAUCAGUGGCAUCGGAAAGUGCUUUUAGCACAAGUGGAAGGAUAUUGGAACCGCAUAGAAGUUGUUUAACUCACUUCAUGAUUGAGGUUCUUGUGUGUACUGAGCAAUGGAUGAAAGCUGACAUCAAGCUUAAUGCAAGCAUCACUACAAAUGAACAAAUCCUAGCUGAUGUUGAGAUGCUUGAGAAGCUUGAGAAAGGUAUGUUUCUCUAACUUAUGCUUUAUUCAUUAAAUUUUGUGUAUUAGUCAUUUCACUUAAAUCAUUUACCUUUUCUUGUCAGAGUUUGAAGCUCAAAACAUUGGCGAUUGAUGUCUGGAUGUUUGAGUUUGAAGGCUGAAGCUUGAACGUGGAAGGCUAAAGAUGGAAGUAUGAAAGAGUUGGUUUUUAUUUUAUUGAAUAAUGUUGCUUUUAGACCUGGUUUUCACUUGGAUAUUGGUUAUUCUCGUUUGGUUUUCAUUUCAAUAACUGUGAUCUUUGCAUCACUUCUUUUUAAUAAAGUUUGAAAGUUGCUUUUAUAUGUGUCUGAUUACAAUUCGAUGUGUAUAUUUUUAUGUUUGCCUUUUGUAUACAUAGUAGCUUUACGACCUGUUUUUAGGUUAACGUACAUGGCAUUAUUCAUAAAGAGGCUGAGUAGUAAUACAAUACCAAGUUUUUAGUAGUGUCUAAGCAAGUAUAAGUUAGUGUUUCAGAACCGAAACCCGGUUAAGAACCGAAACCCGAAAGUAUAUCGGGUUUAGUCGGAUCUUCGGUAUGUUACCAAACCCGGACCGAACCUGACUAAACCCGAACUGAGACCGAUCCGAACUUUAAAAAGACCCGAAUGGGGCUGAUUUUUGUAAACCCGACACCCGAUUAGACCCGAACCGAAACCCGAUUGGAACACCGAAUGCCCAUGCCUAUUAAAUACUAAACUCACAAGUCAUAAAGAUUUCCAGAUCCUACUGUUUUUCGAUUAGUGAAAUCUAUAAUAGUCAGUAUGACUUUUCCCCUAUGUCUUUGUUUUUUGUUUAAGUUUUUCCCUGCUCUUUUGUAACAUAUAUAUGUGAAAAUCUAUAUUCUAUCAAUUUAGAGUCAUACUUUUAAUCGAUGUUGAAAGUUGUCAUUUAACUUUAGAACAUAUUGAUACCUAACUUAAUAUUAACUAAUUAAUUAAUUAAAAUCGACCUUCUUUUAAACAAUACUUUUGUUAUUUAAUACAAAUAAAAAACAACUAGAGCUUGAUUCGUGCAUCUUCACGGGUGUGUUUUAAUAGAAUAGGCAUAUGAAAUUCUUCGAAACACAAAUGCAACAAUGGCACAAAUAUACAUAUUUCAAUUUGUAAUAUAUAACAUGUAUGAUAGUUCGACGGCUCUUAAUUGUCUGUAAUUGUUUUGUUACUCAUAUUGCGGUUGAAUAUAAAAUCAAUCAAAAUGAUAUUUUAUAUAAUACAUACAUAUUCACCAAUUAUUUUGUUUGUGUACAUUAAUAAAUCUAUCUUUUCAAAAUAAAAUAUUUUAUGUCUAUUCUGCUUUAGUAAGAUAUAUAAAUAUGUUUCUAAAUUUUGUAUAUGCCAAAUAAAUUCCACUUCUAUUUUUAUUUUAAACUAAAAUUUAUUUGUUGUAUUCUUAUAGUUAAAAUAUAUAUAUGUGUGGAUUAUAUUAAUCAUCAAGGUAUUUAACAUAUAUUUGAAAAUUAACUUUAUAUGUUUUAUUAAAGAAAUUCUAAUUUAUAUUUUGUAUGUAAAAUUAAAUAAUAAUAUACAUGAAUAUAUAAUAUUUAAAGCUCGUAUGUUACAUUUUAAAUAAAAUUUUAAAUUUUAUUGUAAAAUUUGACUAGAGAAUAAUCCGUUUAUAGAAGAAUUGUUAGUUUGGUAAGUUUGGAUAGAGAAAAAUCCAACAAAAAAAAUUAUUUGUAGUUAAUUAAUUAAUAAAUAUUAAUUUAGUGGUAUAAGUUAUAAUUAUUAAAACGAAAGAAGAGAAGUUACUUAAACUACCAUAUUACUAAUACUACUUUUCAUGUUUACCUUAACACAUUUACCCUUAGUCUUAAAAAGUUAAAUAGACGCUUAUAAGUUAUAACCGUGGGGUUAAUAAAUUUAGACAUAAAAUUUAGAUUUGAGAGGUUAGGUUUUGGAAUGUGAUGUUUAAGAUUUUUUAAUAAAUAUAUAAAUAAAUUUUUAAUUUUUUUUGUUAAAAAUAGUUUCAAAAUGAUUUUUGAAUUUUAAAAGGAAAAUUUGAAAAAAUAAUUUAAAAAUUAUAAAAGGUUCGAAUUUGAAAAUGUUAAUUCGAAAAAUAUAAAAACAAAUAUUUCUUAUUAUUUAUUUACAUAAUAAUUUAUAUUUAUAUAUCUAUAAAGUAGAUGUAAAAUGGUGUUUUGCCUCUUUAAUGAAAAAAAUAUUUGUGAAUGUCCCUUUAAUAAAAGUAAAGAUGAAUUGUGCUACAAAACAUGGGGUAAACUUGAAUAGAUACAAAUUUUGUAGACUUGCUUCAAUACAAAUUAAACUCUUUCGUUUAUGGAAGUGAACGUUAACACAUUUCUCUCUCUAAAACCUCUAACCUCUCACUAGAAGUUCGAUCUUGCGUUUGUGUUUCGGUGGCCGUCGGCUUCAUCGCCGUCGGUUACCGCUCUGUUUUUGUUUUCUGAUUAGUUCCGAUCUAUAGUCGGAACCACCUCCGGCUUGUCCGGCUUUUAGUUUUACUUUGUACAUCUCCGUUUUGUUCGGUUUAUGCUCCGACUAGAGUUGGUUUAUUUUCUCUCUCACUUUUUGCAUGCUUGUCAUGAUCUGACGGUGUUCUGAAGAGUGUUAAGACCUCAAUCAUCUGCGGUUUUAAUUUAUUCUGGUGGUUAAGCAAGACCCGACUCUUGAACCGGAGAAAGCAAAAGGUGUUCAAUCAGUUUCAAAGGUAGAAGUUUAGGUGUCUGAAGUGAAGAGCAAAGACCUUAAGCUUCUUUGGACAUGGCUCAUACGACGAUGCAAGCGGCGAAGCGACGGUCAGAGUUAAUCAAGAUGUGGUGAUAAUCACGACUAUGUAGCUCUGCUGAAUCCAAAGAUAAUGGGGGGACACGUGCCAGAAUUUAUUUAUUCUUAUCCUCUUUAUCUUUUGGGUUUGUAAUGGGUUUAAUCUGUAAUGGGUUAUGUCCACUUUCGAAGCUGAUUUGUAAAACUGGCUCAUGUGGCUUUUAUAUAAUAUGCCGACAAAAAAAAAAACUCUUCCGUUUAUGAUGGCUUGACUACUGAUUUAAAGUGACCAUCAGCUUAAUAUGAUACCGUAGACUUGCUUCAUAAAAAAAUUCAUGAACUGCACCUGCAACUCUUCAU
rnacentral:lncRNA from 1 species